GCAACUGGCUGAGGUAGGCGGAGACCUCCAGGUAUCCCACCUGGGGAAGGCGAAGCCAAGCAUUUGCUAAUGAGAACCACAUAGGGUCCAGGGGGCUGCAUGCGACCACGCAAAGGGCACCCCCCGUUUAAUGUGGGGAGCGGUCAUUGUGGCCAUUGCUCAAGUUGUACCUUCAAGGAUGUCCCUUUGCAUCAGGUCAAGUGCAGUGAAAAGAUGCCAAAUUCAAAAGCCUAGCUUUUUGAUCCUAAGGAAGAAUUGGUUCAUUUCUUUCCAGACAAGCUGUAAACAAGGUUUGUUCUCGACUUACCACUUGUAUUUUUUAUUUUUGCAGGGGGCAGGGAGAACAAACCAUGAGCCUGGUGUUGGCUGGAAGGCUAAGCCAAGCCAUGACUUAGUUCUUCGUAGCAUGGCAGCAUCAAGAGCAAGGAAGUAGCGAAGUGGCCCUAAAUUCCACCAUCUGCUCCAUGAUGCUGUGAGUUUACCUUUAAGCUAUAGUUAAGCGUAAAGGUAAAGGUAAAGGGACCUGUGACCAUUAGGUCCAGUUGUGGAUGACUCUGGGGUUGAGGCACUCAUCUCGCUUUACUGACCGAGGGAGCUGGUGUACAGCUUCCGGGUCGUGGCCAGCAUGACUAAGCCGCUUCUGGCGAACCACAGCAGCGCAUGGAAAUGCUGUUUACCUUCCCACCGGAGCAGUAUCCAUUUAUCUACUUGCACUUUGACAUGCUUUCGAACUGCUAGGUUGGCAGGAUCAGGGACCGAGGAACGGGAGCUCACCCCGUUGUGGGGAUUCGAACCACUGACCUUCUGAUCGGCAAGCCCUAGGUUCUGUGGUUUAACCCACAGCGCCGCCCACUAUGGUUUAAAAUGAUGCGUGGAUGCGGCUUGUGUGCGUUUCUUUUACAGUAAGGAUAAAGGUAAAACAGGAUGCUGGUGGCGCUGUAGUCUAAACCACUGAGCCUCUUGGGCUUGCCGAUCAGAAGGUUGGCAGUUCGAAUCCCCGCAACAGGGUGAGCUCCCAUUGCUCGGUCCCAGCUCCUGCCAACCUAGCAGUUCAAAAGCAUGCCAGUGCGAAUAGAUAGAUAGGUACCGCUGUGGCAGGAAGGUAAAUGGUGUUUCUGUGUGCUCUGGUUUCCGUCACGGUGUCCCGUUGCGCCAGAAGCAGUUUAGUCCUGCUGGCCACAUGACCCAGAAAGCUGUCUGUGGACAAACGCCGGCUCUCUCAGCCUGAAAGCAAGAUGAGCGCCACAAACCCAUAGUUGCCUUUGACUGGACUCAACCAUCCAGGGGUCCUUUACCUUUACCUUCUUUUACAGCACAUAGCCAUAUUCAAUAAUACAAAAAAUGAUGCUUUUCAAGUAGUCCUCCUAACACUGAUGCUUGGAUGGAGCUAUAUUACGCAUAUCCAGCUUGUUUUCCUUUUCGUUUUUGGACAAUGAUCACACAUUAUUUCACAUCUCAGCUGUAUAGAGGUUUACAUGUUAAGGCAGGAACUGCUUGGCUACACAAUACAGUGGUACCUCGGGUUAAGAACUUCAUUCGUUCCGGAGGUCUGUUCUUAACCUGAAACUGUUCUUAACCUGAAGCACCACUUUAGCUAAUGGGGCCUCCUGCUGCCGCUGCGCCACUGGAGCACCAUUUCUGUUCUCAUUCUGAAGCAAAGUUCUUAACCUGAGGUACUAUUUCUGGGUUAGCGGAGUCUGUAACCUGAAGCAUCCGUAACCUGAAGCGUCUAUAACCCAAAGUACCACUGUAUAUUAUUUUGGCACUGCUACAGUUUCUAGUCUUGAAUGUUGAUUCUGCACAUUUAGCAUGCAGGCGGUUGCCAUAUAACUUGUGUUUGGCGCAAAAGGGUCAUAGUAGUGCAAAAACGCACUUUUGACUAUGGCUGUUAAACCAAAGGUGGUCAGCUGAAACAUUUUUUCUUUGCCAUCACACUUUCUUUCCUCUACAGUGGUACAUCUGGUUACGUACUUAAUUCGUUCCGGAGGUCCGUUCUUAACCUGAAACUGUUCUUAACCUGAAGCACCACUUUAGCUAAUGGGGCCUCCUACUGCCACCGCCGCGCAAUUUCUGUUCUCAUCCUGAAGCAAAGUUCUUAACCCGAGGUACUAUUUCUGGGUUAGCAAAGUCUGUAACCUGAAGCGUAUGUAACCUGAAGUGUAUGUAACCCGAGGUACCACUGUACUUACAAAGCAACACUCUAGUUACGUUCCCCAAAAUACCUUUCUUCUACAUGCACCCACACGCGUCUGAACACUAUUCAAAGAAAUGCUUCGCACAGCCACUACUAGUGCUAACAGCUUCUCUCCUACGAAGUAGAAUUCCAUCUUCUUACAAAGCGUGUUCUCCAUAAUAGGGAGCAUGUGUUGCUGUGGGGGCCAAAAAGGCCACCCCACUGUUGUUGGGCAUAUUGGCCACAUGCUGUGAUUGGGCAAGGAGUGUUGCUGGGGAGAAUGUUAUGUUGCUAAAGUGUGGGAGGGGUCAGAGGUCUUAAAUACAGGGCUCAUAGCCUGGUGCCUUCUCUUGGGUUGCGUGCACCGGAUCACCCGCCCACCCUCCCUGAAAAGGGGGGGGGGUUCGUUGUCCUAUGACCUCGCUAUGCCUGUCAUGGGGUCGUCUGCCUUGGGGCAGGGGCCUGGUAGGAAUUUUGUCCAUUUGGCUGAUUGGCUGUUGCCAUUUGGUUUUUGCCUACUGCGUAGCAAAUCGUCACAACUUGUAAGGUUGGCGGUUAGGCAUUGGUUAAAAUUGGUUGGUGGAGGGGUAAGUGCCUACCCCUCCAAUGGUGGUGCGGAAAGGGAAUUCUGUUAAAGGAAUCCAGGGGCUUGCCAUCCCUUUCGUCCUAGUCCCUGGCAUCGGAUUUGGGCUGUGCAAGCCCCAGGGCGCAUGAGGGUGAGAGAUGAGGGACUGAUGCCCAACUUCAUUUCUCCCCAAUAUGGUUCUCCCUGACUGGCUUCCGCUGGAAUCCCGAAGUCAGUUCUGUCCCUGGGGCAAGGACAGAUAGUCGUAACCAAUGCCUAAGCAACCACUCACGUGUGUGUAUUUAAAUAAAGUUGUGGCCAAAUUCAUGUCAAAAACCUUAAACAAAAAUUGAUGUGUGAAGUGUGAGUUAUUGGGGUGGCCUGGGGGACCUCAACGCGCAAAAUGUAUGUUUUUGUGAGGAUGGGAACAGAAGAUGGUACUUAAAAAAAACUACCACCCGUAAUAUUGGUCUCAUGUACUAUAUGCUAGUCUAAAAUGUGUUCAAGCAGCAUAGCUGUCUCAGAAAUCAUAACUUUGUUGUGGUCAUAGCUAUUUAGCAACUGUUUCUGAAUGAUAUAAUUGUACCAUAUGGUGGCGAGGGACUAAUACUACGGAAAAUGCUCCAAUUGUUACAUUUUACCUGUGCUUCUGUGCACAAUGGACCUUGCUUUUUAUUGUCAGUCUCCUUUACCUCCACGCCUUUUUAAUAGAGAUAUUAAUUAAAUUUCUUUCCUUUAAUGAGCUACAUACGUUACGCAUUGGGGGGGUCAACAAAGUAAGUUUUAAAAUCAAUUAUACAAUUACGUAUGUAGUAAUGAGAGCACAGAACUAAUUGCCUGCAGGGCAGUACUGUAACCUUCUCAUAAUGCAAGUUUCAUUAGGGUAAGGUCUAUUAUUACAAGGAAUCAUGGAAAUAAUGGGGGUGGGUGUAUUCAGCAAGAAAUAAUAAAUGAGGGCCAUUUCAAGAUAAGAGAAGCUGUUUGCUGCUGUGAGUGUGAUAGCAGGCCCCUAGACUGUAUGUAAAUAGAUAGGGUCAAGUUUCCUUGAGUGCCCAGAGAACAUUGUACAAGAAUUAAUUUUCAUUCUAUUCUGGAGAAUGACGGAAGGAAGGUUUCUAAUUAUGCCCCCAGGCUGGAUACAACCAAACUCUGUAACAUGGCCAGGUAUUUUUUAUAAAAUGUACAAGACAUUCUCAGUACAUACAGGUGAUGUGAACUUGUGAAAUGGCUUCUUAUUCCUGAAUCUGCUUCUUAUUCCUGAAUUUGCUUCUUAUUCCUGAAUUUGUAUUGCAUUAAUGAUGGCUGGUGGAAAGGAUAGAUACCUAAAGUUACAAAUUUCACAAAUUCUAUUCCGUUUUAAAGUGUUUUGUCUUUAUCUUUGCAUUCAAUACAAAGUCUUGUUUUUGUUUUAAGGUGUUUCCCACCAUACACAGAAUAAUAGAAUCGUAGAACUGUAAAGUUGGAAGCGACUCCAAGGGUCAUCUAGACCAACCCCCUGCAAUGCCGGAAUCUCAACUAAAGUAUCCCUGACAAGAUGGCCAUCCAACCUCUGCUUAAAUACCUCCAAGGAAGGAGAGUCCCCCACCUCCCAAAGGAGUCUUCCACUGUCAACAGCUCUUACUGCCAGAAAGUUCUUCUUGCUGGAGCCAUUGGUUCAAGUCCUACUGUCCAGAGCAGGAGAAAACAAGCUUGCUUCAAUUUCCACAUGGCAGCCCUUUAGAUAUUUGAAGAUGGCUCUUAUUGUGCCUCUCAGUCUCCUCUUCUGCAGGCUAAACAUACCUGCAGCAACUCCCUUAACUGUUCUUCGUAAGGCUUAGUUUCCAAACCCUUGAUCAUCUUGGUUCCCCUCCUCUGCACAGGUUCCAACUUGUCAAUAUCCUUCUUAAAUUGUGAAUCCCAGAACUGGACACAGUAUUCCAGGUGUGGUCUGACCAAGGCAGAAUAGAGCAGUACUCUUACUUUCCUUAAUUUGGACACUAGACUUCUGUUGAUGCAGCCUAGAAUAGUAUUAGCUUUUCUGCUGAAGCAUCACACUGUUGACUCAUAUUAAGCUUGUGGUUCACCAAGACCCCUAGAUCCUGUUCCCAUGUACUACUGGCAAGCCAGGUGUCCCCCAUCUUAUAUUGGUGCAGCUGGUUCUUCCUGACAUUUGUAGAAUCUGACAUUUGACCCUUUGAAAUUCAGUCUGUUAGUUUUAGCCCAGUUCUCCAAUCUGUUAAGGUCAUCUUGAAUCCUGAUUCUGUCUUCUGCAGCAUUAGCUACUUGCCCCAAUUUGGUGCCAUUGCAAAUUUGAUGAGCAGCCCCUCAAUUCCUUUGACCAAGUCAUUUGAACGACAACGGGCCCAGGACAGAACCCUGUAGCACCCCACUUGUCACUUAUUUCUUGGAACCAAACUGACAACAGCAAUCUGUUGUUGUUGUUUAGUCGUUUAGUUGUGUCCGACUCUUCGUGACCCCAUGGACCAGAGCACGCCAGGCACUCCUGUCUUCCACUGCCUCCCGCAGUUUGGUCAGACUCAUGCUGGUAGCUUCGAGAACACUGUCCAACCAUCUCGUCCUCUGUCGUCCCCUUCUCCUUGUGCCCUCCAUCUUUCCCAACAUCAGGGUCUUUUCCAGGGAGUCUUCUCUUCUCAUGAGGUGGCCAAAGUAUUGGAGCCUCAGCUUCACGAUUUGUCCUUCCAGUGAGCACUCAGGGCUGAUUUCCUUCAGAAUGGAUAGGUUUGAUCUGCUUGCAGUCCAUGGGACUCCCAAGAGUCUCCUCCAGCACCAUAAUUCAAAAGCAUCAAUUCUUUGGUGAUCAGCCUUCUUUAUGGUCCAGCUCUCACUUCCAUACAUCACUACUGGGAAAACCAUAGCUUUAACUAUAUGGACCUUCGUUCGCAAGGUGAUGUCUCUGCUUUUUAAGAUGCUGUCUAGGUUUGCCAUCGCCUUUCUCCCAAGGAACAGGCGUCUUUUAAUUUUGUGACUGCUGUCACCAUCUGCAGUGAUCAUGGAGCCCAAGAAAGUAAAAUCUCUCACUGCCUCCAUUUCUUCCCCUUCUAUUUGCCAGGAGGUGAUGGGACCAGUGGCCAUGAUCUUCGUUUUUUUGAUGUUGAGCUUCAGACCAUAUUUUGCGCUCUCCUCUUUCACCCUCAUUAAAAGGUUCUUUAAUUCAUCCUCACCUUCUGCCAUCAAGGUUGUGUCAUCUGCAUAUCUGAGGUUGCUGAUAUUUCUUCCAGCAAUCUUCAUUCUGGCUUGGGAUUCAUCCAGCCCAGCCUUUUGCAUGAUGAAUUCUGCAUAUAAGUUAAAUAAGCAGGGAGACAAUAUACAGCCUUGUCGUACUCCUUUCCCAAUUUUGAACCAAUCAGUUGUUCCAUAUCCAGUUCUAACAGUAGCUUCUUGUCCUACAUAGAGAUUUCUCAGGAGACAGAUGAGGUGAUCAGGCACUCCCAUUUCUUUAAGAACUUGCCAUAGUUUGCUGUGGUCGACACAGUCAAAGGCUUUUGCAUAGUCAAUGAAACAGAAGUAGAUGUCUUUCUUGAACUCUCUGGAACAGCAAUCUGUACAUUGACACAAUAAACAAUCCUGGGUCAAAUCAAGCUGUAAACACAACCAGACACCUUUGCAAACUGUAUUUAUAUAUGGUAUUCCCGUAUGGCAUUUUUAUAUGAUAUUCUUGACCAUGCAUCUGCAUCAUCAAGUUGCCAGACUCAGAGCAUCUAUUGUGAGCCAAACACACACACACACACACACACACAAAAUAACAUGUUUCGGCAUGUCUUUAUAGAAAGAAAGCCAGCCAGCGUUCUUUUUUCCCUUCCCUUUCAGCAUAAUUAUCCUCUUAAUUCCACCAGCUUUUAGUAAGGGCGAAUUGCUACAGGAUUAGCAAGCACCGUUCUAAAAACAAUUUAAUUCCCCCCAAGCACCACAUCCAUUAAAAAAAAUUGGGAUCAGUUUUUUAAAACCUCAUUUAUUUUUACAAACAAGGGACUCACAGUGUGUCCAGGGGAGCUCACUCACACAAAUACUGAAAGGAAUAAAGAAACAAACAACAUGGUUGGUCAGGGAAGCUGGAGCUUGAGUAUGUGUGGCCUUCAAGGCAAUAGCUCCGAGCAUGCUCAGAACAGAUGCAUGACUCAGAUAGGUCUUCCAGGUUGUUGUUGUUGAUGAUGUUGUUGAAUUUAUAUACCGCCCUAUACCUGGAGGUCUCAGUAAGGUAAAGGUAAAGGGACCCCUGACCAUUAGGUCCAGUCGCGGACGACUCUGGGGUUGCAGCACUCAUCUUGCUUUAUUGGCCAAGGCAGCCGGCGUACAGCUUCUGGGUCAUGUGGCCAGCAUGACUAAGCCGCUUCUGGCAAACCAGAGCAGCUCAGGGAAACACUGUUUACCUUCCCGCUGGAGCGGUACCUAUUUAUCUACUUGCACUUUUUGGCGUGCUUUCGAACUGCUAGGUGGGCAGGAACAGGGACCUGAGCAACAGGAGCUCACCCCGUCACGGGGAUUCGAACCACGACCUUCUGAUCGGCAAGUCCUAGGCCCACAGCGCCACCCGAGUCCCGGAGGUCUCAGUAGAUCUUCCAUUAUUCAGACUCACUAGCAUUAUGUGGACUUUUCUCUGCCAGAUGGAAAUCCACCUCUAGAGAGGACAUUAAAAAGGGGUUUGUGAUAUGACAUGGGGAAUCUGCUAUUAAGAAGGAAAGGGGAAAGGCUAAAAAUCCCACCGGCCAGAUCCAAGGCUUUGGGCACUCUUCCGUUAGGCCUUGGCAUCAGUGAUAUGGGAAUUCUUUGAGAGGGGAGGGGAAAGAAAUAAGCCUUUUUAUUGCAACCCAUUGAGCUUGUUCUGAAACAGGCCUAGAUGCACACUUACAGUUUGACCUGAGUCAGAAGUGUUGGGAAACACCCUGGGGUCGCCCGCAAACCCCUGGAACUCUGAGCAUCCUCCAAUGUGCUCAGUGACAUAUAUCAGCUUGAUAUAUGCACACUAAUCUUCUGGCAUAACACAGCAGGAAGAGUGAGAUAUCGUAGAUCUAAACUACUAAUUAUUUACACACUAUAUACAGACUGGACGCAGGUGGCACUGUGGGUUAAACCACACAGCCUAGGACUUGCCAAUCCGAAAGUCGGCGGUUCGAAUCCCAGCGACGGGGUGAGCUCCCGUUGCUCGGUCCCUGCUCCUGCCAACCUAGCAGUUUGAAAGCACGUCAAAGUGCAAGUAGAUAAAUGGGUACCAGUCCAGCGGGAAGGUAAACGGCGUUUCCGUGCGCUGCUGUGGUUCGCCAGAAGCGGCUUAGUCAUGCUGGCCACGUGACCCGGAAGCUGUACGCCGGCUCCCUUGGCCAGUAAAGCGAGAUGAGCGCUGCAACACCAGAGUCGGUCACGACUGGACCUAAUGGUCAGGGGUCCCUUUACCUUUUUAUAGACCGACUACAGCAUAAUGGCGACCGUUCUCUUCAGCUUCGAGAGAACAACCAGAAGGAAGUAAAAGCAAAAGUACAUUACAAAGUACAUACAAUGGAAGAAAGAUAAGGCUGUCUUCUGUCCCCACAGUCUUUUCAGACAGGUGUGUGAUUCACACUGGUCACAAUUUGCAGCAUCGGCUGCAUGAAAUACUAACAAGAAGGGGCUGGUUUGUCCCCUUGCCACUGACUCCUUUUGUUUCCUCAGUCAAGACUCACCUGACAGUGGUAGCACAGGUACCUGUUAGAGCCUCCCCAUCUCUUGGGGAAGAGAAGGGAGCCAGAGGUUGAGGAAGGUAAAGGUAAAGGACCCCUGGAUGGUUAAGUCCAGUCAAAGGCAACUAUGGGGUUGUGGUGCUUAUCUCUCUUUCAGGCCAAGGGAUAAUAAUAAUAAUAAUUUAUUAUUUAUACCCCGCCCAUCUGGCUGGGCUUCCCCGGCCACUCUGGGCGGCUUCCAAAAGAAUAUUAAAAUACUAUAAUACAUCAAACAUUAAAAGCUUCCCGAAACAGGGCUGCCUUCAGAUGUCUUCUAAAAGCCUGGUAGUUGUUGUUCUCUUUGACAUCUGGUGGGAGGGCGUUCCACAGGGAAGGCGCCACUACCGAGAAGGCCCUCUGCCUGGUUCCCUGUAACUUGGCUUCUCGCAGUGAGGGAACCGCCAGAAGGCCCUCGGUGCUGGACCUCAGUGUCCGGGUAGAACGAUGGGGGUGGAGACGCUCCUUCAGAUAUACUGGACCAAGGCCGUUUAGGGCUUUAAAGGUCAGCACCAACACUUUGAAUUGUGCUCGGAAACGUACUGGGAGCCAAUGUAGGUCUUUCAAGACCGGUGUUAUGUGGUCUCUGCGGCCGCUCCCAGUCACCAGUCUAGCUGCCGCGUUCUGGAUUAGUUGUAGUUUCCGGGUCACCUUCAAAGGUAGCCCCACGUAGAGUGCAUUGCAGUAAUCCAAGCGGGAGAUAACCAGAGCAUGCACCACUCUGGCGAGGCAGUCCGCAGGCAGAUAGGGUCUCAGCCUGCGUACCAGAUGGAGCUGGUAAACAGCUGCCCUGGACACAGAUUUGACCUGUGCCUCCAUGGACAGCUGUGAGUCCAAAAUGACUCCCAGGCUGCGCACCUGGUCCUUCAGGGGCACAGUUACUCCAUUCAGGACCAGGGAAUCCUCCACACCUGCCCGCCUCCUGUCCCCCCAAAACAGUACUUCUGUCUUGUCAGGAUUCAACCUCAAUCUGUUAGCCGCCAUCCAACCUCCAACCGCCAGAGUUUGUCCACAGACAGCUUUCCAGGUCAUGUGGCCAGCAGGACUAAGCUGCUUCUGGUGCGACGGGACACUGUGACAGAAACCAGAGCGCACAGAAACACCGUUUACCUUCCUGUUGCAGCGGUACCUAUUUAUCUACUUGCACUGGUGUGCUUUCAGACUGCUAGGUUGGCAGGAGCUGGGACAGAGCAAUGGAAGCUCAUCUAGUUGUGGGGAUUCGAACCGCCAACCUCACUCAGUGGUUUAGAUCACAGCGCCACCCGCUCCUUAUAUACAUAGGUUGAGGAAGACCCUAUGUUUAGGCAGGGUAGUGUCUAGGCUCGCAUCUCUCUCUCCCCCCACCCCUGAUCAUUGGGAACGUGACAAGGCCUUGGAAAGAAAGGUUUUAUUUUAAUUUUAGUUUGAAAAUGAAUUAUUUUACCCAAAUUAUUUUCCAGAUUGGGCCCGGGAAAUCUCACCAACCACUACUUGGGAUUCUAUCCUAUGUAUCUAUUCUCGCCCCCCUGAGAUGCACUGCAACGUUUAAAACCUAUUACAAAGAAAGCUAAUUUCAGAGUGAAGCCAAAGACCUCCCAUUGCAUUUUGCAUUACCCAGACCUCUGACAGGCCUAUUCAGUGAGGCCUUUCUGAUAUGUUGUGGAGAUUUUGAAAGUAAAGAAUUGCAAGAAAUGCAAUUUAAUCCCAAAGUCAUUACCUAAAUGCUGAGAUAGGAUAGGGAUUACCACCAAUGUAAAUGAGAUAUGAGACAGCCAAUGGAUUACAAGACCCUUUCUUUAGGAUGACUUCAGCAAAUAGGCUAAGAUAAGGAAAUCUUUGUAAUUACAUGGAGCUACAGUGGUCAAUUCUGACUUAAAUACUAAAGGGAUCCAGAAAAAAGAAAGUCAGAAAAACCUACAUGUGUUAUUCAGUGCAAAAUUAAGUAUUUCCUUUUUAAUUCUGCGCAAUCAAUAGAAGAGCAUCUCACCAAAUGAAAAGGCGAGGGCUGACUACAUGUCCCUUUGUGACUGGUAUCAUUUCAUCAUUUGGGUAAUAUCAUUUCCAAAUUAAAUUUUAUGGUCCAUUACAUACGAGCUCAAACACUUUUCUAAUGGAAUCUUAAAUAGAACUGACUUGCUUUGCGUGGGGUUUGUCUCUCAGUUAAGAUGUUAUUUAGUUCUAAUUAUCAAAUAAUGAACUCAGGAAAUUUAAUUUUUAAUAUUUAUAUGUCAGAAGUCUAUUGUUCGUGGGCUUAAGGUUUUAAAUUAAAAAUUAACAUGGAUGGAAUACUCAGUGAAUGUUUCCUCUGGGAGUGAGAACUGAGGUUCUGAGCAUUCAGAUUGCUGUUGUUUACCCCAAAGCGAAAAGUAUCACCAGCCCUCCACAGAGAGGAAAAAACGAAGGAUGUCCUCAGAUAAACAUCUAAAUCUUGAGUCUCCUUUGAACCAGUGAGGAAUCUUAAUUUUAAAAAAGAUAUUAUAGUACGAUGAGUUUUGUUUAUCUCCUCUCUGGAAGCCUGUCAAGCUAAUUCCAAUCAAAGAUAGGUGCCUAUAUUACCCCCUUGCUACAAUAUAGUUGGCUAAUAUUCCGUGUUAAUCAUACUCGGAAUAAACACAUUGAAAUCAAUUGACAUAAAAUUGAAGUCCUCUGAUUUCAAUAGGUCUGCUCUCUGACUAAUGUUAGCAGUCACCCUGUGAAAUAUACUCAGAGUCAAGAGUGGAUUUCAUGCUCUUUAUUUAGCUCAUAGUGGUGAGGAGGAAUGGAAGUUCCCCUACAAUAUCUGCUUUAUAUACAUUAUUUACACAAUGGGCUGCACGUGAUUGGCUAAUUCCGGGAUUCUCCUGUAGGCCAAUCAGGUUGUGGAGUCACUUCCACCUGGAGCUGGAUUGGGUGGCUCCUGCAGACCAGUCAUACUGCUGCAUUGUUCUAGGACCAAUCAGACUGCUGCAUUCUGAAUCCUAUUGUUCUAGGACCAAUCAGACUGCUGCAUUCUGAAUCCUAUUGUUCUAGGACCAAUCAGACUGCUGCAUUUUGGAUCCUAUUCAACUCAGUACAUAACACCCUGUGUCUUAUAUGUAUGGAUAUACCCACCAUGCAUUUUGGAAAGUGGUUUGUUCGGCUAUCUGUUAGGACACCUCUUGAAAUACCAUUGGCCAAUAUGAUUUGACUGUGGAGAAGCUGGGUUCUGUCAAUGUUUGGAUGCCAGGCGCCAUUUUGAAUCAUGAUGGCAGAUAGAAACAUUCCAAACUGCAUCAAUAAGGAGAAAUGGUAACCAAAUCUGGUGUGACUGUUCCAAACUGCACCAAUUUGGAUGCCUCUGAAGAUCUGAUUGUUCAGUUUGGCAUGGCUGUUCCCAUGGUGGGGAGCAGCUUUUGGCAAUUUGGAGUCACAAUGGGAGACAGAACCAUUCCAAACUGCACUGUAUUUGGACACCUCUGACAGUACUGUUGGCCAACUUGGCACGGCGGUACCCCAGGAGUGGCUUUGGGUCUGUGUUUGGACAUUGUCAGGUGCCAUUUUGAAUCAAGAUGGCAGACCAAACUGUUCCCAACUGCAUGCAUUCAGACAUCUUUUAAGACAGGGGUCAGCAAACUUUUUCAGCAGGGGGCUGGUCCACUGUCCCUCAGACCUUGGGGGGGUGUGUGUGUGGACUAUAUUUUGAAAAAUAAUAAUGAACGAAUUCCUAUGCCCCACAAAUAACCCAGAGAUGCAUUUUAAAUACAGUGGUACCUCAGGUUAAGUACUUAAUUCGUUCUGGAGGUCCGUACUUAACCUGAAACUGUUCUUAACCUGAAGCACCACUUUAGCUAAUGGGGCCUCCUGCUGCCGCCGCGCCGCCAGAGCACGAUUUCUGUUCUCAUCCUGAAGCAAAGUUCUUAACCUGAAGCACUAUUUCUGGGUUAGCGGAGUCUGUAACCUGAAGUGUAUGUAACCUGAAGCGUAUGUAACCUGAGGUACCACUGUAAAAGCACACAUUCUACUCAUGUAAAAACACGCUGAUUCCCAGACCGUCCGUGGGCUGGAUCCAGCCCCUGGGCCUUAGUUUGCCUACCCAUGUCUGAAGAUAUCAUAACCAAAUUUGGUGUGAGGGUUCCUGAGAUGGAGGAGUGGGGUUUUGUCUAUGUCUGGAAACCUCUGGAAAUGUCUGGAAACUUGAUUUUGAAUCAAGACUGUAGACUCCACUUUUAAAAACUACACUGAUUAUAACCAAAUUUGGCAGGAAACCAGGAGUUUUUUUCUAGACAGAACUUGCCGGAACUCGUUUCCACCACCUCUCAGGUGGGUACCACUGCCAUUAUAAGAGAACAAGGGAGGUGUUCAUGGUGAGUUCAGGCACCUCUUUUUCUAGAAAAAUAGCACUGUAGGAAACUAAUAGUGCUACACGCCAGAUUUGGCCAGCAAGUCAGGAACAGGUCCUGGUCAAUCCACCUGGAGUGAUCUGGGGCUGUAAGGGGCAGUGUGUUUCACUAGUUGUUGAACAGAGGGGCUUCAGUGUUGUUCGUCUAGUAGAUGAAAAGCGCUUGACUGGAAGAUACAAAGGAUUGCUGCUGUUUGACUUAUUGAGCAUUGGUCCUGAUGAGUUUGCAGAGAGAUUAGACAAUGUGUACAGAAAAUGUUAUCCCACACUUCCAUUCCUGCUUUCAGGGGAGGGAAAUUUGCCUCAGCCCUCCAGGGGAAAAGAAACUCAAUGUGCUCUUUAGCCACCUGGGAUUCUAGGAGGGGGCAGGCUAGCCUGAAAUUUUGCAGAGCCCCCCUCACGUAGGGUUGCCCUAUUUCAAAAUAUGAACACAAAAAUAUGAACACAAAAGUUGCUGAGCUUUUCUUGGCCAAAGAUUUCCCCGGACAGUUCAACAAUUUUCGCCUGGGCGCUGCUUAAGGGGGCUGAAGAACUGUCUAUGUCCAGAAAAUUCUGAAUGGGUGGCAACCCUGAACAUUCUGAACAUAUAACAAUGGGGACUCUCUUUUUUUUUUUUUUAAAUAUUUAUUAAAGUUUCAAGAAAUACAAAAAAGAAAAAGAAAAAGAAAAAUAUACAGAGUACAAAAUAUAGCAAAAAAUAGAGAAUAAAAAAGAAACAUACAAAAUAAAACAGUUAAAAAGACAUUGAUUUUCCAAACCUAUCUUCCCUUCUCUUAUUUCCCCGGACCUCCUCAUACCUCCCUUCUUUGUAUUCCAGUUCAGUUUGUUAGUUCAGCAAAUCCUUACCAUUAAACUUUUACCCAAUUGUUAACCUUUUUUUUCAUAUCUCUUAAAGCAUUACAGCUAAAAACCUCUUAGUUUCUAUCCAACAUCCUUCUAAAGUUCCUUAAUUUUGCAAUAUUUCUGUAAAUAGUCUUUAAAUUUCUUCCAGUCUUCUUUCACCGAUUCUUCUCCCUGGUCUCGGAUUCUGCUGGUCAUUUCCGCCUCUCUUUUUGGCAUUAUUUGGCUGUUUGGCAUCCAGGUACGGCCUUAAUUCACUGCCACUGUGAGACACUUUGCGGGUAAGGGGUACUCUUGAGUCAUCACCCGUAGCCAUUCGAGGGGGGAUUUGGGUGCCUACACACCAUGGUGAACACUGAACCAUAGGGUCUGGGUACAUAGGUUGGGCUUCAAUUGCCAAAGUCUCACUUAGUCAAGAGGGGUAUAUUUCUCCCCCACCUUUGGCUGGGGUGCCAACAACAUGCAAGCUUACAUGCCCAGGGAGGUCACUGAUUCCUCCUGCUCACACUUAGUUAUUUAACCAGUUCGCAGAUUCUCUAAUUUGUUAAAUUGUAAUACAGUGGUUGGGACGCAGGUGGCGCUGUGGGUUAAACCACAGAGCCAGGACUUGCCGAUCAGAAGGUCUGUGGUUCGAAUCCCCGCGACGGGGUGAGCUCCCGUUGCUCAGUCCCAGCUCCUGCCAACCUAGCAGUUCGAAAGCACGUCAAGCUGCAAGUAGAUCAAUAGGUACCACUCCGGCGGGAAGGUAAACGUCGUUUCUGUGCGCUGCUCUGGUUCGCCAGAAGCGGCUUACUCAUGCUGGCCACAUGACCCGGAAGCUGUACGCAGGGCUCCCUCGGCCAAUAAAGUGAGAUGAGCGCCGCAACCCCAGAGUCAGUCACGACUGGACCUAAUGGUCAGGGGUCCCUUUACCUCCCUUAAUACGUGGUACCUUGGGUUACAGACACUUCAGCUUACAGAUGCUUUAGGUUCCGUACUCUGCUAACCCAGAAAUAGUACCUCGGGUUAAGAACUUUGCUUCAGGAUGAGAACAGAAAUCGCGUGGCGGCAGUGGGAGGCCCCAUUAGCUAAAGUAGUACCUCAGGUUAAGAACAGUUUCAGGUUAAGAACGGACCUCCAGAACGAAUUAAGUUCUUAACCCGAGGUACCACUUUAAAUAUAAGCUUUUUCAUCACUUGAUUACUUGUCCCGAGUCUUCUUUCUGGGUACAAUUCCCAUCACUUUUCUUAUCACAAAAAUUUGGGGAUGACGCAGGUUUGUUGAGCAAGGACGCCAACUCAACUUUGGUUGUGCAACUUGAAUUAACCGGUAUGUAAUCGAUUCCCACCUUGAAAAUAGCAACAGUCUGGAAGCACACAAAGGAUUUUUUAGGAUCUCUGUGUAUCUGGUUCUUCCUUCAUGUCACCUGCGGAACCCAAUUCAUGUCUGAAAAAGAACCCCCUUCUGGACUUUGGACAUCAGGUUGCCCUCCUGCAUAUCCUUGGUAGACUUAAAGGUAAAGGGACCCCUGACCAUUAGGUCCAGUCGCGGACGACUCUGGGGUUGCAGCGCUCAUCUCACUUUACGGUGUACAGCUUCCGGGUCAUGUGGCCUGCAUGACUAAGCUGCUUCUGGUGAACCAGAGCAGUGCACGGAAACGCUGUUUACCUUCCCACCGGAGUGGUACCUAUUUAUCUACUUGCACUUUGACAUGCUUUCGAACUGCUAGGUUGGCAGGAGCAGGGACCGAGCAAUGGGAGCUCACCCCGUCGCGGGGAUUCGAACCGCCGACCUUCUGAUUGGCAAGCCCUAGGCUCUGUGGUUUAACCCACAACGCCACCCGCGUUGUGUACCCGUUGGUACACUUAAAAGGUAAAGGUAAAGGGCCCCUGACCAUUAGGUCCAGUCGUGGCCGACUCUGGGGUUGCGGCGCUCAUCUCGCUUUACUGGCCGAGGGAGCCGGCGUACAGCUUCCGGGUCAUGUGGCCAGCAUGACUAAGCUGCUUCUGGCGAACCAAAGCAGCGCACGGAAACGCCAUUUACCUUCCCCCCCUGGAGCGGUACCUAUUUAUCUACUUGCACUUUGACGUGCUUUUGAACUGCUAGGUUGGCAGGAGCAGAGACCGAGCAACGGGAGGUCACCCCGUUGCGGGGAUUCAAACCGCCAACCUUCCGAUCGGCAAGCCCCAGGCUCAGUGGUUUAACCCACAGCGCCACCUGUGUCCCUUUGGUACACUUACUCCCUUUUUAAAUCGGUGAACUCAUGUGUCUAGGAUUGCAACAUCAGUUAAUUCAAAACCAUUUACCUAUUCCUUCUGCUGCCUAUCUCUGAGUGUUGCUUUGCAUAUUAUGAGAAGCCAUGGAAAGCAGGUGCACAGAUGACUUGUGUUUCUGACUUACCUGCUUUCCUGUGAAAUGUUCUGAGUGCAAAUGAUACUGUUAUCAGUCCCCCCUUUGCUGCAGCUUGUGUCAGGAAGCAAUCCCCAAUGAAACAUCCAUAGAAUGGAGAGGUUUGUGCUGUGUACAGCAUUGCACUUGCAAAGGCUGCAACCCUGUUAUUUAUUUUUAAAUCAGCAAAUGGAAAAACACACGUUUAAAGCACUUGUUAUAUUUUACCUGAAACUUCCCUGGUCUUUUAUUACCUGAAAAGACUGUGUUAGCAUGGCUCUCAGCUGGUAUAAUGGUACUUUUUCUAAUUCGCUUUGUGUAAUUGAAUAGUAAAUUAGUUUGAUUAAUAAACACCUACAGCAACUCAAUAGUACGAAUUUAAGCUGCCGUGCUCCCAUAAAUAUGAGCGCUGCUUGCUAAAGCAGACUCUCUGAUUUUUUUAUUGUUUCUUCUUGAAUACUUGAAAUAACAACAGUAACAACAACAUCUCAAUGUGGUUUUUUUUUGAACUUCAACCUACAACUGAUUAAUUUGCAUGAUUAAUCAGCUAUACCUUAAGCUAAAAUAUUCUCUUCUGUUCUUCCUCCCAGUUAAAUGAUGGGAUUCUAUCACAAGCAACAGAGUUUUGAAGUCAGGAUUCUCAAAGGGGAAACUGCCGUGGUCUUCAGAAAUUGUGCUUCAUUCGGCUUAGUGUCCAAGCUGAUCUAUAAAUACUUGCAAAAACAUGAGAGGUAAAACUCAAACCAUCAUAGCAGCAGUAUUCCCUCUUUUUAAAAGCUUUUUAUUGCUUUAUUGAUUUUAAAAAGAAAAUUACUAUCAAGAAAAAGAAUAUAUAUAUAUAUAUAAAAACCAAAGAGUAUUACAAUUUACAAAAGAUAAAUUAAUUUUAACAACACAGCUUCUAUUAUGACUUCCAUUCAUCCCAUCAGGGGUCCUAGUUUUCUUAUGAGUAGUGCACUUUUCAUUAUCACUCCAAACUUUUCCCCAAUUUUCAUAUGCUUUCCCAGGAGUCUGUCUAAGUCUAAGCCUACCAAAGAAUUCACAUUUUUACAAUGCUCUUUAAGGUAUUUUCUGUAAAUGUCCCACUCUCCAAUAAAUGCUUCUUCUGUAUUAUCUCUAAUUCUUCCUGUCAUUCUUGCUAUUUCUGUAUAUUCCAAUAAUUUCACAGUAUUCUCAACUGGUUGAUUAUAAACAUUGCAUCAUGGUCAUUAUCCUAAACUUGCAUGCCUAUUAGAGAUAUAUAGAAUUCCCUGGCCUCCAUUUUGUUACUCCAUUGUUCUUAAAGGUAAAAUUCAUUUUGUUUUAAUUAUUUAUUAAAUAUUGUCAAUAUCCAAACCACCCGUCACCAGUGACCUUUGUCCAAGGGGUACUUACAACAAUUGGUUAAUAAUCCAUGGAGAUCAUGUUCAGUUCAUCUUUACAUUAAUUUUCUCUCCCUUUCUUUAACUAUUCUUGGAUGCCACCAUUUCAUUUACUCAGAAUACCUUCAAUGUUGUAUCAUUGCUGUAAAUCGGGUCCUCUCUUAAAGAGGGCACAUAUUGCGGUGAGACCUUGACAACCGAUACCCUGUGUUGUGGGUGGGUACAUUGGUCAGCCAAACACCUGAUUGGUAGGUCCCUUGAAGCUGGGUGCAAUCUGGCCAAUGGGACGCAGUCUAAACGGUUCGAGGGACCUAUUUAUGCCCAUGCACAUGACUCAGAGCUUCCUUUUUCGGCACGUGCAUUUAAAACACCCGCCCACCUCUCCCUACUUUUAGGGCUUGUUGCACUUGACUUUGCUAUGCCGUCGUGUGUCGUCUGUCGUUGGGACAGGGGCACGGCAGGAAUUUUCCCCACUUGGCUGAUUGGCUGUUGCCAUUUGGGUUUUGCCUGCCACAUAGCAAAUACUCACAACUUGUAAGGCUGCGGAUAGGCUCUGGUUCAGGUGACAGGGAUGGGAGAACGCUCUCGCCAUCCCUAUGUGAAGGGUAUUCCGUUAAAGGAAUCCAGGGACUUGACGGUUUGGUCAACCCCCGAGAAGGGGUUGUGCCUGUGCCUGAAAGAUUUGGGUUACACAGUCUAUGAUGGUAGGUCACCCCUAGCAUAUGACUUGUGGAUCUGAAGCAAGGGUGGGCCCUGGGGUGUGUGAUGAGGGCUUGGGCAGAACAGCGACGGGGUUGGAGUACCACCUUUGGGAGAGAGGUCAGAAGCAGCUAUAAGUGGAACCAUUUUGUAUGGAACUCUUGGUAUCCGGAAGACUCUGUGUGACUUCAGAAGGCAGCUUAAACUGAUCAUAUUCAGUAGUUCCCCUUCUAUAUUAGAGAGGUCGCAGCUGGCUUUAUCAAAGAUUGAAGAGGAUGGGACGCAAAAACAAAAGGCAGAUAGGCAGAAGACAAAGCAUAUUUCACCCUCAGCAUGUAUUUGUUCUGCUGCUUUUGAUUUAAUCUGAAUAUCUUCAUGUGUGCUCAAGGAAACCUUUUUGGCCUAGGAGAGUCUCUCUCAACACACUGGGGAAUGUGCUCUGUUUUUCCAUUAGGCUAAGAUGUAUGAUUUAACAAACCAACAAAUUAUCUUUCCAUUUCUAAUUGAUUUAAAAACAAUUGCUUUGCUGUUGCUUCACAGGAGGCUGGGUCUUUAAUUGUCACAAGGUCACUUUGUAAGUUUUAAUUGCUGGGUGCUGUUCUGUCCUUUCAUGGCUUUCAAGGUGAUAAAUGGUUCUCCGGUUCAAAAGCUAGUCUAUAUAAACAAGCUUAUCUCUGCCCAUAGUCUUCAAUGAAAAAUGAGUUGUGAGUAUCAUUGUUAAUCAUGGUAAUUGUUAAUGUUAAGAGGGCUGGUAUUAUGAGUUUUCCUAUUAGACUUUCAAUUCAUUAUAUAAAAUGAACAAUCUAGUAGCCAUCUAGAGCAUUCUAAUUUUAAUUAACCAGCGGCUGCAUUUCAGGUGAUCCUCUUCUUCAUGGAAAUUAGCAAAAUCUUGCAGAGGCACACACAAAGGCUCAGUUCUCCAAUAGCUGUGCCCUGAUUUUUAUAUUUGGGGUUAGUUUGAUAGGUGCAUCUCUCCUCGUGGACACUUAGGGAGGCUUACAUCCAAUAUGCAACUGGUAUUAAUUUCUUCAGUUUCCUGUAGCAAAGCAAUGGUUUCAGUGGCGUGUGAUGAAUUUUUCCGUAGGGGAACAGUAAGGGCCAGAGGUGCCAGCUAUCAAGGGCGAUUGGGGCGGACGGGACGUCAAGCAUGCCUCCCUCCCUAAUAAAUAAUAAUAAUAAUAAAUUUUAUUUAUAUCAUGCCCUCCCCAGCUGAAGCCGGGCUCAGAGCAGCUAACAACAAUAAAAUAAUACAACAUUCUAAAAUCAUUUCAUUCUAAAAUUAAUUCAAAUCCAAUUGAUGGCAACCAUUGGGCUAGAGUUCUGUGAAGAUUGCCAAAGGAAGGAGUUAGGCUGUGCCCUGGCCAAAGGCUUGGUGGAACAGCUCUGUCUUGCAGGCCCUGCGGAAAGAUGUCAAGUCCCGCAGGGCCCUAGUCUCUUGUGACAGAGCGUUCCACCAGAUCGGAGCCACAGCCGAAAAAGCCCUGGCUCUAGUUGAGGCCAGCCUAACCUCUCCGUGACCUGGGACCUUCAAGAUGUUUCUGUUUGAAGACCGUAAGGUCCUCCGUGGGACAUACCAGGAGAGGCGGUCCCGUAGGUAUGAGGGUCCUAGGCCGUAUAGGGCUUUAAAGGUUAAAACCAGCACCUUAAACCUGAUCCUGUACUCCACCGGGAGCCAGUGCAGCUGGUAUAGCACUGGGUGGAUGUGAUCUCGCAGCGAGGACCCCUAAGCCGGGCAGAAGCUUCCUGGGCUUUGGGAAGGAGGCUCCAGGCUUUAAUACUCUAAUUUACCAGGGACAUUUAGGCGGACUCAUAGCUAGGGAGGGUCUAGCCAGGGUUUCGGCUCCGGGCGAAGCUUCCAGGGGUUGCCAUUGAGGCUCCCAGCCUCCCAGCAUGUCUGGGCUUCAGCAGGAAAGAGGAAAAAGUGAAUGGCAGCCACGAGCCCCCCGUCCUUCCCCUUUCCCCAUGAAGCUGAAGAAGGCUCAUUUGUGUGUCGAGACCCCGCAGCCACCCCCUUGUUGGAAAUAACUCACACAAGGACACAGAUAUUAGGUUUAUGUUAUUGGGCAAAUUUUGGCCACAACUUUAUUGAGUUACAGAAUGUGAGCGGUAUUGGCUUAGGCAUUGAUUGGACCUGACUAUAUCUGAUUCCUGCCCAUUGUGCAGGAAGUCCGCUAAGGGUAAGCCACUGGUAGGGGGAGCCCUGUCGAUGCGAACCAACUCAAGCUCCCCCUGGUGUUCCCGUCGGGGUCGUGUCAAGGCCUUAGCCCCCCAGCCGGGCUUCAGACUAGAACAACACCCCCGGAUUCCUUUAAUGGAAUACCCUUAAGCAUGGAGGGGCAGGUGAUGGGCACACCUCCCCUCCCCCCCACAAGGUCAAACAAUGCCUAACUGGAACCCUAACAAAGUUGUGGUGAUUGCUAUGAGGUAGGCAAAAACCUACCCGUUGCUCGGUCCCUGCUCUUGCCAACCUAGCAGUUCGAAAGCACAUCAAAGUGCAAGUAGAUAAAUAGGUACCGCUCCAGCGGGAAGGUAAACUGCGUUUCCAUGCGCUGCUCUGGUUUGCCAGAAGCGGCUUAGUCAUGCUGGCCACAUGACCCGGAAGCUGUAUGCCUGCUCCCUCGGCCAAUAAAGCGAGAUGAGCACCGCAAUCCCAGAGUCGGUCACGACUGGACCUAAUGGUCAGGGGUCCCUUUACCUUUACCUAUGCGAAAACCAAGUGGCCAGUGCCAAUUUGCCAAGUGGAAAAAUUCCUACCAGGCCCCUUGGACAACCAAGGCGACGAGCCGAAGUCCAUAGCAAGGCCAUUACCUAACCUGCAAAAUAGGGAGGGAGGGCAGGUGAUUGAGGAAGCGAGCCAAAGAGGAAGUCCUCUGGCGUCCCUUACAUGGCACCUUAAAUGACUACAAAAGUAUCGUUUCCUAAGAUAAGUAAUCAAACAAAAAUAAAAUGGAAAGGAAUCUUGUUGAAGCUUACUUGGGAGUAAAUUUACAAAGAACCAAGAAGAGGGGUGGGUGGCAAAAAGCCUCAAAAAGGAAGAAAAAACAAUUUUAAGAGGAAACCAGCUUAAAAAAUGGGUAAAGGACCCCUGAAAGGUUAAGUCCAGUGAAAGUCUACUAUGGGGUUGCGGCCCUCAUCUCACUUUCAGGCCGAGGGAGCCGGUGUUUGUCCACAGACAGCUUUCUGGGUCAUGUGGGAACUUGUGUCUCUCUAGAUGUUGCUGGAAUACAAUCAUAAGACGCUAAAAAGAGCCUGCUCCAGCAUCCUGUUGUCAUAGGGGCCAACCAGAUGCUUAAAUAGGAUUUGAGCAACUGGAAUUCAGGAGUAUUACUGUGUGCUGCUGUGAAGACAGAACAUUGCCAUUGUAGUGGGGUAGGGGAGCUGAAAAUAAGGCCAAUAUAUUUCGCAUCUGGCAAACUGAAAUAUACUCAGAGUCAAGAGUGGAUUUCACGCUCUUUAUUCAGCUCAUAGUGAUGAGGAGGAAUGAAAGUUCCCCCAAAGUAUCUGCUUUAUAUACAUUAUUUACACAAUGGGCUGCACAUGAUUGGCUAAUUCUGGGAUUCUCCUGUAGGCCAAUCAGGUUGUGGAUUCACUUCCACCUGGAGCUGGACUGGGUGGCUCCUGCAGACCAGUCAUUCUGCUGCAUUGUUCUAGGACCAAUCAGACUGCUGCAUUCUGAAUCCUAUUGUUCUAGGACCAAUCAGACUGCUGCAUUUUGGAUCCUAUUGUUCUAGGACCAAUCAGACUGCUGCAUUUUGGAUCCUAUUCAACUCAGUACAUAACACAAACAAUGUGCCCCUUGGGUUUCAGAUAGUCAAAUCCCCAUGACGGAGUGAGCUCCCGUUGCUCUGUCGCAGCUCCUGCCAACCUAGCAGUUCGAAAGCACACCAAUGCAAGCAAAUAAAUAGGUACCACUGUGGCAGGAAGGUAAGUGGCGUUUCCAUGCACUCUGGUUUCCAUCAUGGUGUUCUGUUGCACCAGAAGCGGUUUAGUCAUGCUGGCCACAUGGCCUGCGUGGGCAGGGGAAGGACUAGACCAUGGGUAGGCAAACUAAGGCCUGGGGGCCAGAUCCGCCCCAAUCGCCUUCUAAAUCCGGCCCGCGGACAGUCCGGGAAUCAGCAUGUUUUUACAUGAGUAGAAUGUGUGCUUUUAUUUAAAAUGCAUCUUGGGUUAUUUGUGGGGCAUAGGAAUUUAUUCAUUUCCCCCCCAAAAAUAUAGUCUGGCCCCCCACAAGGUCUGAGGGACAUUGGACCGGCCUCCUGCUUUAAAAGUUUGCUGACUCCUGGACUAGACCAUAUGAAAAAUGAACACAAUAUUUUAGCCGCAGUUCAUUCAUUUUCAGCUUUGUAUUUUUGUUAUUAAUAAAGCAUGCCUAAAAAAGCAGAGACAUCACCUUGCCAACAAAGGUCCGUAAAAGCUAUGGUUUUCCCAGUAGUGAUGUAUGGAAGUGAGAGCUGGACCAUAAAGAAGGCUGAUCGCUGAAGAAUUGAUGCUUUUGAAUUAUGGUGCUGGAGGAGACUCUUGAGAGUCCCAUGGACUGCAAGAAGAUCAAACCUAUCCAUUCUGAAGGAAAUCAGUCCUGAGUGCUCACUGAAGGACAGAUCCUGAAGCUGAGACUCCAAUACUUUGGCCACCUAAUGAGUAGAGAAGACUCCCUGGAAAAGACCCUGAUGUUGGGAAAGAUGGAGGGCACAAGGAGAAGGGGAGGACAGAGGACGAGAUGGUUGGACAGUGUUCUCGAAGCUACCAGCAUGAGUUUGACCAAAGUGCGGGAGGAAGUGGAAGAUAGGAGUGCCUGGCGUGCUCUGGUCCAGGGGGUCAAGAAGAGUCGGACACGACUAAACGACUGAACAACAACAAACAAGACAUUCUGUUUUUGCGCCCAUAACCUAGGUUUAAGGUGCCCUUUAGCUCCUAGGGUCCCUAUCUUAGUUUCUAACACUGCCACAGACACAUUGGAAGUGAGAUCUCUGGUGAUUUUGGUGAGGGAGGUUUCAGCGGAGAACAGACGGUAGACGCCUCAUUAAAGAGGGUCAAGAGAAAAGUUGUGGGGAAGAAAAUGGAAACACGGGAGUAAACAGCACACACUAGAGUUCAGUCAUGAAGGGUGGAAGAGAAAUUGGAUCUUGAAGCAAGCCAUAGACGAAUUUGUGACUAUCUCCAGUUGACUUGGGACGCGGGUGGCGCUGUGGGUUAAAUCACAGAUCCUAGGUCUUGCCGAUCAGAAGGUCGGCGGUUUGAAUCCCCGCGAUGGGGUGAGCUCCCAUUGCUCGGUCCUUGCUCCUCCCAACCUAGCAGUUCGAAAGCACAUCAAAAGUGCAAGUAGAUAAAAAGGUACCGCUCUGGUGGGAAGGUAAACGGCGUUUCCGUGCGCUGCUCUGGUUCGCCAGAAGCGGCUUAGUCAUGCUGGCCACAUGACCCGGAAGCUGUACGCCGGCUCCCUCGCCCAAUAAAGCGAGAUGAGCGCCGCAACCCCAGAGUCGGUCAGGACUGGACCUAAUGGUCAGGGGUCACUUUACCUUUACCUUUUACCAGUUGACUUAGGCAGCGGAAGCCCAGCUGUGGGCGCCCCUCCUGCCUUGCCGCCUCCACCGUCAGCACUGAUUUUGUUGUGUUUUGGGGUUCUUUGGUACAAUUUUUAUUGAUUUUCUUUUCUCAUAACAAAUAUUCAAUAUCUUUACUUAACAUUCAUUUCCCAGUCCCCCCCCCCCCCCCGUUGACUUCCCCCAACUUCCAUUUCUGGUUUGUUCCACCAAAUGUUACAAUCUGCUGUUUAUACAUAAUAUUAUGUUGUCACCUGUUAUAUUUCUUGUUCUCUGUAAAUAAAAUUGUAAAUGCUUGUUUAAAUCCUGCCAACGAGUCCAUUCUUUUUUUGUUUUUGUUUCUGCAAGUAAGUUGUAAAAGGUUCCCAUUCCUUUUCAGAGUCACUAUUGUCCUUUUCACGCAAUUUGUCCAUUAGCUUUGCUAGCUCUGCAUAGUUCAUCAGUUUUUUUUUGCCAUUGUUCUUUAGAUGGUAUUUCUCCAGUCUUCCAGUUUUGUGCUGUUAGAAUUCUUGCUGCGGUUGCAGCGUACAUAAAUAAUGUCCGAUUUUUCUUCGGCAAUUCUUGUCCUAACAAAAAAAGCUUCUGAUUUUGGACAUGGUCACGUCCUGAGAUCUUCUGGAGCAUGCAAGAUCUCAUGCGAUUUGGUCUUGCCCCAAAUCACCACAAUCUUGCCCAAAAUCGGCAUCAAUAGCAGUGGCAAUGUGUUUUAAAAAUGCAAUCUGUCUGUGCAUGGAUGAAAUCAUGCAAAUUUGCUAUGCUAAAAAGAAAGCAAGUAAAGGUAAAGGGACCCCUGACCAUUAGGUCCAGUUGUGGCCGACUCUGAGGUUGCGGCGCUCAUUUCAUUUUAUUGGCCAAGGGAGCCGGCGUACAGCUUCCAGGUCAUGUGGCCAGCAUGACUGAGCUGCUUCUGGCGAACCAGAGCAGCACACGGAAACACUGUUUACCUUCCUGCCAGAGCGGUACCUAUUUAUCUAUUUGCACUUUGACGUGCUUUUGAACUGCUAGGUUGGCAGAAGCUGGGACCGAGCAACGGGAGCUCACCCCGUCUUGGGGAUUCGAACCGCCGACCUUCUGAUCGGCAAGUCCUAGGCUCUGUGGUUUAACCCACAGCACCACCCGCAUCCCAAAAAGAAAGUAAGAAGUCUCAAAAACGAAGGAGGAAACACAAGACAAUGGCCAGAAAGACGAUAGUUGGAGACUUUUGCAAAGACCAGUCAUUCAGAUGCAUGUACUAAUUUAAUGAGUUGGCAUGGGGGGGGGAAGGUAUCUCACAAAGCGGAGCAAAACCAGUGACAUAUCGUGGAAUGGGCUGUAGUCUUUGAACCCUCCACAUGCAAUUCUUUGUAGUGAAUUGUGUGAAAAAUCGCCCAUCUGUGUGCACCAUAAAGUUAUAGAGUGUCUGCAGUAGGUAGUAGAAAGGAAAUUGUGUAAUAAUUCAAUAUUUUCAUGCUUGCUGCAUUACAAUUAUGAUGUUAAUUAAUUAUCUGCCUGGCAGUUAACACCAUCCAGAGGCAUGGUUGCGGUUGACUUGGUGCUGUUCUGCUAGCAGUGAGUAAUUAACCUCUCCUCUUCUCUGGGAUUCUCUACAAGAUGAUCAUCAUGUUGAUGAUAUAAUUAUUAUUAAUUCAGUUUCUGUGUUUCGUUGACAUUGUUAAUUACUUGUCGGUAAUCAGCUAAUGUUUAAUCUUCAUUGUUGGAUAGCUUCUUAAAAGGCUGCUUUAAAUGGUUCAGAGGGGCUUCCACCAUAACCUCAGUGCCUGAAGUGCCAGGAAGAUCAGCAGUCGGAAUAAAUUACCUAAAUUAUCUUCAAAUCAGGAUUUCUGGAUCUAAUUAGAUUGCUGUUGGCUUUGUUAUAUGCAGGAUACGGAGCUACCAUCAAUAAAUCAAGGAAACAAGCUCAUGUGCUUUUUUGGUGCCAACUUUAAGAAUUGAUCACAAUUGCAGACUUGCCAAUAUCACUUAAAGAACAUCAUUUAAUUUAGUGUUCUUUUUGUUUUGGAGGGUUCCUGAUUCUUCACAAAAGAACUGGCCUGGGCACAGUUUCUUUCCUAGCAAAGUUUUCUUAUGUCUUAAUCAGCAGGUGAAACACCUGUACAUAUGGUUAAGAAAGUUGCAAUGUGACACUUCCUAGAGCAAAAACCUUUCUUCUUCUUCUUGGUUAUCAAUUCUGUUAGACCAGUUUUCCAGAAAGUUACUCUAAAGUUUGUGAACCUUGAUACAAUAUUUCAGUUACUUAUAAAUCUAAAAUAUCUGAACCUUGGAAAGUGUGACAUUACUUACUUUUGCAGUUGAAACUCACCCUACUGGAACGCAGUUGAACUCCCCUGCCCUGUUCUAAAAUGGCUGAUACUAAAACAGGCAGCCCAAGAAUAAUUCAUUUGAGGGAAUGAAGGGCUGGUAAAAUCCAUUAGCAGGGGAGCAAGGAAUUUAUUUUUGUUACACAUUCCACAUAAUUUGUACAACUGGGAUUUCAUUUGGUAACACAUUAUUUAGCUUAGUGAAGUUGUUGUGAGCAUACAGCAAAUCUGUCAAACAAUUCUCUUCAGAUCCAGAGACUUUGACAACUCUUUUCCCCUCUCCAAAUGCAAGGGAAGCUAAAUCCUUUAACCAGGCACUUGUCAUGCAAUUCCUCACAGAAUCUUUUACCCUCCUAUAACCUGAAAAUGCAAUGGCAAACCUGACAGAAUAACAUUCACAAUUACUAUAGAAGUUAUAUAGAUGGUAUAGAAGGGAAAUUUGUGUUUAUAUACUGGGAGGGGGGAAGAAUUAACGGUGCAAGCCAAUAUAUGCCUACUCAGAAGUAAGCCUCAAUUUAUUGAGGUUUAUUCCCAGCUAAGUGGGAAUUCAGCCUCUUAGACUGCAACCCCAAAUUGCUACUGUGGCCAGGGCCAUCUUUACCUGGGGGUGCAGGACACCCGGGCGCUGAAAUCUGGGGGGCGGCAGGCACUAGCCACUGAAGCCGCCUAAGGCGAAGGGUGAGAGGACAGAGGAGCGAGCGAGCGGAGGACGAGGCGGCCUUUGCCGUGCCCGAGGUUGCAGCGCAAGGAAGUGCGCCGCUGCCAAUCACCGCCUGGCUCCCCACCAAGCAGCCAUCGCUGGGCGCAUCACGUGACACCCGCUUGGUGCCAGAAUGGUAGUCAUAGUCAGUGGCGUAGCGUGGGUUGUCAGCACCCGGGGCAAGGGAAGUAAUUUGCGCCCCCUAACCCGUGGAUUUUAGCACUCAAGUGCGAGCGCCCCCCCAGAUGUUGCGCCUGGUGUGGCCGGCCCCCCCUGCACCCCCCACGCUACGCUACUGGUCAUAGUCAUAGCAACAACUUGACGUGGCACAGAGAGAGAGCGAGGCCCGGCUACCUGGCUGGCUGCGGGCGCGGGAGAUGGUGGGCGGCAGGAAGGAGAGGAGGGAAGCAGCAGCUUUGGGUUUCUCAUGACAUCCUCUUCUUAGCGGCCGCCACAGAGCACGCCAUAUGCUUGAGAAUAAGUGUACUGUCAGUGAGAGCUGGACCAUAAAGAAGGCUGAUCGCCAAAGAAUUGAUGCUUUUGAAUUAUGGUGCUGGAGGAGACUCUUGAGAGUCCCAUGGACUGCAAGAAGAUCAAACGUAUCCAUUCUUAAGGAAAUCAGCCCUGAGUGCUCACUGGAAGGACAGAUCCUGAAGCUGAGACUCCAAUACUUUGGCCACCUCAUGAGAAGAGAAGACUCCCUGGAAAAGACCCUGAUGUUGGGAAAGUUUGAAGGCAAAAGGAGAAGGGGAAGACAGAGGACGAGAUGGUUGGACAGUGUUCUCAAAGCUACCAACAUGAGUCUGACUAAACUGCGGGAGGCAGUGGAAGACAGGAGGGCCUGGCAUGCUCUGGUCCAGGGGGUCACGAAGAGUCGGACACGACUAAACGACUAAACGACAACAACAACAUUGUCAAUAAAUGAGCAAAUCAAAAAGUUUCUUUUUCCUCCCUUCUUUCGUAAACAAGAGGUAAGCGUGGUGUCUGACAUAAGCAUAAUAAAAGUUAAUUUAGGGGCUGAACUCAAUUUGGGGGCGCUGGGUGGAUCUUUGCACCCCGGUGUCGCAUAUGCUAAAGAGAGCCCUGACUGCAGCCAUCAAGGCUCUGCAGAACAGCCAAGCUAUUGCCACACCUGCAGUCUGACCACUCGUGAUGCUGGCAGAAGGUGGCAGGCAAAAGCAUUGGGAGUGAUCUCUGUGGCAGCUUCAGGCUUGCACAGAGAUCAGGCCAGGAUCAGACCCGGUGCCAGCCAGGGCCGGUUGUGGGGCAGCUCAGGAUCCAAUGAGUCCCAGGCCGGCACAGUCCUACCCCCCAGAGCACCCCAUUUUGCAGCUGUCUGCUAGAUUCUGCCCAUGGUGCUACCUAACCUGUCUGUGUUCAAGAGCAGGUAUGUUCUGAUGGAGAGAUACAAUUUCUGAACGAGCAUAAGCAAGCAGAGGCAUGCCUUCACUCAGUCCAAACUCCCUGCAACCUGGCGUUGGGAGCUUGGAUCGCAACCUUAAUCUCAGAAAUUGUCACUUUCUAAAUUCUGUUCUUUACAGCAAAGACCGAAAACCUGCCUCGUUUUCUAAGUUUUUAUUUCAAUUUCUGAUUAAGAGGUUCCAAAUUUGCAUUUUGAAUGUGAUACUUUACCAGGGGUCAGCAAACAUUUUCAGCAGGGGGCCGGUCCACUGUCCCUCAGACCUUGUGGGGGGCCAGACUAUAUUUUGGGAGAAGAAAAAAAAAGAAUGAAUUCCUGUGCCCCACAAAUAAUCCAGAGAUGCAUUUUAAAUAAAAGGACACAAUCUACUCAUGUAAAAACAUGUGGAUUCCUGGAUCAUCCGUGGGUCGGAUUUAGAACGCGAAUGGGCCGGAUUUGGCCCCCGGGCCUUAGUUUGCCUACCCAUGCUUUAAGCUGUAAAUUCAAAUGCUUUAGAUGUGGCAGGGGUCUUGAGUAUUUUGAUUAUGGUGGACUCCAAAUAUGAAUUCUUAUAAGCUAUUAUCUGUCAUACAAAACAAUUAUAAUUGCAUGUUAUCUAUCAAAGGCUGUCAGAAAUUAAAUACCAUUGCAUGCUAACAAUCAAACGCUGUAAGUUAAAAAUAUCAUAUAAUGUAUCUGCCAUCAAAUAUUAACUAUGGCCUUGUGUCAACCAACAAAUACUGUGAAAUAUGAUGCAUUGCUCGUUUUCAAGCAGUCCUUCAGGGAACCGCAGUGAGGUCAGUAGUGAUGGCCAAACACAACCUUUUGCUUGCCUUCUUUUGCAAUUAGCAGCCACGGGGAUAUGUUGGACAUAUUCUAGGUCAUCAUACAAGAAGCAAUGGUGGGACCCAAAAUUUCCCCCUUGAAUUGUGUAUGAGCCCCAGAGCAACCCCAGAAUGCUCUGCACCAUCUAAAACAUGCAGGAAUUUGGAUCACCUUGGGUCAGGUCCACUUUGAGCAGUAUCACCGUUUAGCCCAUAAUCUAGCUGGGUUCGAAACAUAUUGGAUUGUGGCUGAUUUGAAUCACUGAAUUGGGCCCCGAAUCAAAUCUGGGAUUGUGAAGAACCCUACUGAGAACCACCAUUCCGGCAUAAACUCCAUUGUAUAGAAAGUCACUUUCAGCUGAUUUAUUUCUAAUUCCUGAAUGCCAGUUCAUAUAGGAAGGUCUUCUAACCUUUUAAAAGUUGUUCACAUUUUUACUAAACCUUCUUUGAAAAUAUCUAAGGGAUUAGCCUUCAAAAAUAUGCCAGAGGUUGCCUUUACUGUCAUAUUUAACUGUAUCUGCCUUCUUAUAGUCUUGGCAGUGCAUCCUGAUCUGUCUUUUGUGUGUACUAUGAACUAGUAUACCAAUAAUCUCUCCUUACCAAUAAUCUGUUUAUAUAUUGGGAAAACAUCAUUUCUUCUUUUAGCCUUUCCUUAUAUGAUUUUCUUCAGUUCUGAAUCCCUUCUAGUUAAUCAAUCUCCUUGUUCAAAUGUGAUAGCCAAACCUGUUACAGUGGUGCCUCGCAAGACGAAAUUAAUCCGUUCCGCGAGUCUCUUUGUCUUGCGGUUUUUUCGUCUUGCGAAGCACGGCUAUUAGCGGCUUAGCGGCUAUUAGCGGCUUAGCGGCUAUUAGCGGCUUAGCGGCUAUUAACGGCUUAGCGGCUUUAAGAAAAAGGAAACAAACUCGCAAGAACUCGCAAGACGUUUCGUCUUGCGAAGCAAGCCCAUAGGGAAAUUCGUCUUGCGGAAUGACUCAAAAAACGCAAAACCCUUUCGUCUAGCGAGUUUUUCGUCUUGCGAGGCAUUCGUCUUGCGGGGCACCACUGUACUGUUAUUUAUCAUCUUUAUACCAAAUGCUCAAAUUCAUAACCAAACCGGUUCCCUGCUCUCAUUUUUACAAAGAGACCUAAGGUUGACACAACGAUCUGCCCAAGACUACACUGUGAAUUUAUGGGUGAAUCCUGCAUCUCCAGGUGAAAGUCAGCUUAUUAUCCGCUAUGACUGCAGUCUGGCAAUGCAGCUCCACAGGAAUUUUUCAGAGGAUUGUGGGCACUAUUUCUUGGAGUUUUUGUACUGUCAUAUUAACUGGGAGAUUCUCAAGAGUCACCAAUUAAUGAUGACCGGAUCAUCACCCCUUUUAUCUAUGCUAUAUUGUGUGCCAUCAAUAUGGCACUAAACAGUAGGGAUAGUGGACAGCCUUGGUUGCUGUCUCAUCCUAUUUGGAUCUUAGAUAAAUCAAAUUUGUUCACUUAAACAGAGUCACACACACGUAUUCCAGCACUUGUUUUUAUACACUAUUGUCUUUGUCCAUUUUCCUCAAUGCUAAUAAAAAGGUCCAUUCAAUUAAAUCAAAGGCCUUACAAGUACCUAUACUUAUUCAUUUGUUUAUUAGAUUUAUGACCUGCUCUUCACCACAAGGUCCCAGGGCAGAUUACAACAAUAAAAUAUACAAUUCUUUUUUUAAAAGGGGCGGAACAGGGCAUAAUGGGUCUGGGAAUGGAACACCUCCCCACACACCUCAAAUGGUCAUUGGCUGUGUUCUAAUCCCAAAUGUUAUAGGGAUUUGUAUGCCCUUAUCAAUAUGGGAAGUGGCUUCUUGGACUGUACAGUGGUACCUCGAGUUAGGAACUUAAUUCGUUCAGGAGGUCCGUUCUUAACCUGAAACCGUUCUUAACCUGAGGUACCACUUCAGCUAAUGGGGCCUCCCGCCGCCGCUUGAACAUAAGUUCUCCAGAGCCAGCCCAAUCCCCACACAUUCUGGAUAACCCUGAAGUCUCCCAGAUCCCCGACUGGGGACUGGGAAGGAUAAACACCUAAUGCCUGAGCCAAGGUCUCCCUACAUCUGAAACUUAAUAAAGUUGUGGCCAAUUUUAAUCCCAUUGUCUUGAGUCAUUAUUCCACUCGGGGGUUGCUUGGGGUUGGGGGGACUCCGCCUGUCCGCGCAAAUAAUGCCUGUGAUUUUGAGGAGCCUGCAGCUCAAUAAUGGUCAGUGAUUCAGUGAUGUCACAGCAACUUCUCGCCCUUAUUAUUGGUUUCUUGAAGGAAAACAACACCUGGCAGCUCUGUUUUCUGUCAUGCCUUUUUGCCCUAUGUCUUUAUCUGAAAAAAAAAAUGGAUUGGGUCAAUUUACUAUCUGAUUCAUCACUAGGAAUUCUAUAGGCAGCUUUAGAAAGUAUGGAAGAGAAUUUCAUCAGCCAGGUGCAAAAUGUACAUAUUUUAUGGCAUCACUACAGACUUUCUGAACCAUAAAGAAGGCUGAUCGCUGAAGAAUUGAUGCUUUUGAAUUCUGGUGCUGGAGGAGACUCUUGAGAGUCCCAUGGACUGCAAGAAGAUCAAACCUAUCCAUUCUGAAGGAAAUCAGCCUUGAGUGCUCACUGGAAGGACAGAUCCUGAAGCUGAGGCUCCAAUACUUUGGCCACCUCAUGAAAAGACUCCCUGGAAAAGACCCUGACGUUGGGGAAGAUGGAGGGCACAAGGAGAAGGGGAUGACAGAGGACGAGAUAGUUGGACAGUGUUCUUGAAGCUACAAACAUGAGUUUGACCAAACUGCGGGAGGCAGUGGAAGACAGGAGGGCCUGGCGUGCUCUGGUCCACGGGGUCACGAAGAGUCGGACACGACUAAAUGACUAAACAACAACAAAACAGACUUUCAUUGUUAAAUUAAAUCUCGAGAAAAUCUGAAGCAUAUUGGUCACUCAGUUGACCAGUCCGCCUUCCUGACUGACUCACUCAUACAGACAUCUGGUCAGCAGAAGCUCUGUAAGCUAGAUGUUUGCUUCUAGUACUUGAAUUUGUGCAGUUCCUUAGUCAGAACAUAUCUUAAAGGAUUGUACUAAGAACCUUGUUUCAUUAUUAUGCUUAAUUUUCUGAUUUGUGGCAGUAAUGUGUUUACAUGUCUGCUGCAAGACAUAUCAGAGUAAAACAAUCACUGUGUUAAAUAUGGAGCCAUGCUAAUUAACAGCAGUUUUCAAAAUAGACUUGCUCCACAAUUGUAGCACUAUCUAUUAAUUAGAAGUCUUAUUCUGCCACUUUAAAUACACCACUCAGAGAAAGCAAUUAACUAUCAAUGGGUGGGGAAGCACCCUUAUAAAAAUUGAAAAUGAAAGUCACCUCAUAAAACAAAACAAAGCUUACUGGCUGCAGGUUAUCUUUGAUGGAUGCAGAAGAAUUGGACACUACUGAGCCACUGACAGUUUUUAAAGGUUUGUAAAUGUCUUUUCUUCCAGUUAUAAAGGUGGCGAAUGAAUCAGUCACUGCUUUCUGCGUUGGACCUCCCUUUACUUCAGCUCAGCAGCCUCCUCAGGUCUUUUAGAUAUAUUCACUUAUCUUCCUUCUCACAGGUUAUGUCCUUAAUUCAACUAAAUGAACACAGCAUCUUCAUAAACAGUCGUCACAAACUCAGGAGUACAAUGGAUUCAAAACUUGUUAGUGUUCAAGUAACUCAUUCGGGACGCGGGUGGCGCUGUGGGUUAAACCACUGAGCCUAGGACUUGCCGAUCAGAAGGUUGGCGGUUCGAAUCCCCGUGUCGGGGUGAGCUCCCAAUGCUCAGUCCCUGCUCCUGCCCACCUAGCAGUUUGAAAGCACCUCAAAGUGCAAGUAGAUAAAUAGGUACCGCUCCGGCAGGAAGGUAAACGGCGUUUCCGUGCGCUGCUCUGGUUCGCCAGAAGCGGCUUAGUCAUGCUGGCCGCAUGACCCGGAAGCUGUACGCCGGCUCCCUCGGCCAAUAAAUCGAGAUGAUCGCUGCAACCCCAGAGUCGGUCACGACUGGACCUAAUGGUCAGGGGUCCCUUUACCUUUACCUAACUCAUUUUCAGUGUUGAGAAUGAUAAUAUACCUGGCUAGCAUCCAUCUGUCUCAGGAGACAAUGGAGGAGGGCACCUUUGGGGGUGAGAUCAAGGUGUUGGAAAUCUGCAGCACCUGCUGUGGCUUGCAGAGACCAAUGCGGGAGAGCAUGUUUUGUUGCAGCUGGGGCAGAUGAAGGCGUCCAGUUGUGCUGCUGCAGAUGCACCAUGGUGUUUCUUCUGUCUGCACUCGUCCCAGCAGUCAUUUCUCCUCUGGUCACUGCUCUGAAUAUUCAACUGAACUGCCUGUCUCCACACACUGCGGUUGUCUGCAAGGGAUUUCCACCAGGCAGUGUUGAUGUUGCCAGCCUUCAUGUUAUGUUUGCAGACAUCUUUGUUACACAGAGUUGGUCUGGCACAGUGGGAGUGUGACCCUGUUAAAGGUAAAGGGACCCCUGACCAUUAGGUCCAGUCGUGACUGACUCUGGGGUUGCAGCGCUCAUCUCGCUUUAUUGGCCGAGGGAGCCGGAGUACAGCUUCCGGGUCAUGUGGCCAGCAAGACUAAGCUGCUUCUGGUGAACCAGAGCAGCGCACGGAAACGCCGUUUACCUUCCCGCCGGAGUGGUACCUAUUUAUCUACUUGCACUUUGACGUACUUUCGAACUGCUAGGUUGGCAGGAGCAGGGACCGAGCAACGGGAGCUCACCCCGUCAUGGGGAUUCGAACUGCUGACCUUCUGAUCAGCAAGCCCAAGGCUCUGUGGUUUAGACCACAGCGCCACCCGCGUCCCUAUGUGACCCUGUUACUUCUCAAGAAUUUAAGCCAACGCUUCUUCCCAUCCAUCAGCCCCACAAGAAAUACUAUGAAGCCAAAGGUCACCUAUCAUUUUGGUAACAGGCUCCAACACUAUUCCAGUAAUCUUUGCUUCAAGCUAUCACACCUCUCUUUCAGUAGCCUGGAAACUAAUUCUGAUCUUACAGGUGCACAGUUAACAUCUGCAAUGAUUUCAUCCAAAUAGGUUUAACUUCCAUUUUUCAUUCUGAGCAGUCUAGGGAGACAGGUGACAUUUCUGCCUUUCCUUUUGUUUACCUCUGUCACAACCCUCUAAAACAAUACUUUAGGAAAUGACAGAAAAGCCACAGUUUUAAAAUGUCAUGAUCACAAACAAUCAUAGAGAUGGCAUGCUACAUUUAUCGAACAUCACAUCAAUGUUUUCUAGCAGUAUUUGGAAACUUCAGAAAGUCCAUGAAGUGGAAAUGGGAGAUCUUGCAUGGUAUAUUAAACAUACGUUGUCCUGCAUGUCCAGGGAUUCCUUGCCAUCUUAUUUGCGCGUUGAGGUCCCCCAGGCCACCCCAAUAACUCACACUUCACACAUCAAUUUUUGUUGAAGGUUUUUGGCAUGAAUUUGGCCACAACUUUAUUAAAUACACAAACGUGAGUGGUUGCUUAGGCAUUGGUUUUGUUUUCUUUUUAAAUUAUUUUUUUUCAAUCUCCAAUACAAGAUUUAAACAUACAUUUUCAAUAUUAUCACAGAUACAUAAUUUUGACUUCCUUUAGCUCAUCCACGAAUCUUCCGUUUUCUAAUCUUCUAUCCGCAAUUCUAAAUUUAACAUUGCCUUUUGUUUUAAAUAAACCUAUUCCCUUGUUCCCUUUUUUUACAGUGUUUCUAAUAUUAUUUCUUCACAAAGCUUCCUGUAAACCCACAAACGUUAUUUGUGUAUCACAUAUGCUUUUCAUAUAGUCCACAAAUUUACUCCAGUCCUUGGUAAACUUGUGAUCUCGUCGGUUCCGGACCCUUCCUGUUAAUUUAUCUAAUUCUGCAUAGUCCAUUAAUUUCAUUCUCCAUUCUUCUAUCGAUGGGAGUUCUUCCUGCUUCCAUUUUUGGGCCAGUAGUAUUGGUUGCUUAGGCAUUGGUUACGAAUAUCUGUCUUUGCCCCAGAGACAGAACUGACCUCCUGAUUCUAGCGGAACCCCUUGCCCCAGGGACAGGACUGACUUCUGGAUUCCAGCGGAAGCCAGUCAGGGAGAACCAUAUUGGGGAGAAAUGAAGCUGGACAUCAGUCCCUCAUCCUUCACCCUCAUGCGCCCUGGGGCUUGCAUAGCCCAAGUCCGAUGCCAGGGACUAGGAUGAAAGGGAUGGCAAGCCCCCUGGAUUCCUUUAACGGAAUUCCCUUUCAGCACCACCAUUGGAGGGGUAGGCACUUACCCCUCCACCAACCAAUUUUAACCAAUGCCUAACCGCCAACCUUACAAGUUGUGACUAUUUGCUACGCAGCAGGCAAAAACCAAAUGGCAACAGCCAAUCAGCCAAAUGGACAAAAUUCCUACCAGGCCCCUGCCCCAAGGCAGACGACCCCAUGACAGGCAUAGCGAGGUCAUAGGACAACGAACCCCCCCCUUUUCAGGGAGGGUGGGCGGGUGAUCCGGUGCACGCAACCCAAGAGAAGGCCCCAGGCUGCGAGCCCUGUAUUUAAGACCUCUGACCCCUCCCACACUUUAGCAACAUAACAUUCUCCCCAGCAACACUCCUUGCCCAAUCACAGCAUGUGGCCAAUACGCCCGACAACAGUGGGGUGGCCUUUUUGGCCCCCACUGCAACACGUGCUCUCUGGUAUGGAGAACACGCUAUGUAAAAACAACAACAAAUAAAUAUAUUUUGAGGAAGAACUAGGAGAGCAUAGGAAACCUCUGGGCCACACCAGGCCUCUUGAGGAAGUCACACACACACUGUCCUACAACUGACGUGAUACAAGAUGUCAGGUUUGGGGUGGUAGAACAAUCAGGAGUUUAUGUGAGCUCCCAAUAGUUCUUUUGUUGGUACAAAGGCACACUCCCAUCCUUCCAUCAGCUGUUGGAAGGUGGAGUGUUCCUUCUCAGGGCUGUUAGGAAAACUGCUUUCAAACAGCCUUGCGUGUCGAGGUCCCCAGGGCCACCCCAAUAACUCACACAUCACACAGAAUUUUUUGUUUAAGAUUUUUGGAAUAAUUUUGGCCACAACUUUAUUAAAAUACAAAUUUGUGAGUGGUUGCUUAGGCAUUGGUUGCAACUAUCUGCCCCCACCAUGGGGGACAGACUGACAUUCCGCACGAUGCGAAAGUCAGAAUGGGGGAAUACACUUGGGGGUUACGCGGGGCAGGGAACCUGCCCUCACCCCAAAUGCAACCAGGAGCUCAUUGCUAUGGCCCGAGCCCCCUUGACAGAGUGGACAAGCAAUAGUUAGCUCCCAAUUCCUUUAACGGAAUCCCUUGCAGCAGCAGCAUUAGAGGGGCAGGCACUCAACCUACCAAGGGCAGGCACUCAACCACUGUCCCUCAACCAACCAAACCAUAAACCAAUGCCUAAUCGCAACCUUACAAGUUGUGACGAUUUGCUACGCAGUAGGCAAAAACCAAAUGGCCCCAGCCAAUUAGCCAGAUGGACAAAAUUCCUACCGGGCCCCUGCCCCAAGAGCAGAUGACCCCAUGACAGGCAUAGCAUGGUCAAAGCGAACAACCCUAAUUCUCGGGUGGGGGGGCCGGGCAAUCCGAUGCAAGGUCGAUAAGAGGAAGCCCUAGCCUCGUGCAAGGAGUUUUAGCAUUUCUGGCUGUCAAUCAACAAAUGGCAACAUUAACUUCUUCCCAACAACAAGGGAAGCCCCAAUCGCAUCAGUGGCCAAUGGUCAAUUAGCCCGCCCCCAACUCUGGAGUGUCCUGGCGGCCCCCACAGCAACACGUGCUCUCCAUGAAGGAGAACACGCUUUGUGCUACUCCUUAAACUUCCAAAGCAGCCCAAUGCUGCACUUUGAACUUCUGGAAACUGGAGGUUCACAGAACUGCAAAGGGAUGUUUGAAAGUCUUUUGUGAACAGCCCAGUGCUCAAGAGUUUUGCCACUUGAGGCAAAAAGGAAAGUGCUACUUUUCCUUGCUGCUGCCACCGGUCCUGCCACCACCUAGUGCAGGGGUCAGCAAACUUUUUCAGCAGGGAGCCAGACCACUGUCCCUCAGACCUUGUGGUGGGGCGGACUAUAUUUUGAAAAAAAAAUAAUGAACAAAUUCCUAUGCCCCACAAAUAACCCAGAGAUGUAUUUUAAAUAAAAGGACACAUUCUACUCAUGUAAAAACAUGCUGUUUCCCGGACCACCGCGGGCUGCAUUUAGAAGGCGAGUGGGUCAGAUCCAGAUCCGGCCUCGGGUCUUAAUUUGCCUACCCAUGACCUAGCUGCUGCUGUUGCCACUGCCUGUUCUGCCACUGCUGCAGACCAGUACUGGCACCAUUGAUGCUAAUCAAGAUCACAUUCAUCUUGGACGAUGGAAGAGGCGGAUUGGUUUGACCUGAUGUCACUACAGUGUUAGUUGACUGACAGGUGGCAGCCCUGCCCACGUGCCAAGCAGGGAUUUUCUACAGACCUCCUAACCUUGCAACUUUAUAAUAUUCAAUUUAUUUUCCAAACACACACACACACACACACACAAAACAAUUGGGAGUACUUUGGUGCCACCAUUACAAGUCUCUACAACUUUUCUUUCUGCCUCAGUUUCUUCAAACUAAAGAGUAUGAAGAACAUGUAAGCAUAGACGUACCCAGAGGGUUCAGAUACAAAUGGAAAAUAAUGCAAUAUAUAAAACUAGAUGAAUUAUAAAGAAAUCAGAUUAUCUGGGAAGCCAAAGCAUAGAAGUAUAUGUAUUGUUUCAAGCAGAAGUAGGGUACAGACAUGCUUUAGUUACAUAGUUCUGAAAAACCUUUCUUCUGACCAUUUCAUAAAGUCCAAGGUAGCACAUCUGAUGAAAAAUAUUCUGGACUAAUUAGAGCUGUGCAAGUCAUGAGCAACAUCAUGCACUUGAGUUGACUAUCCCACUUCUGUCUGGUAACAAACCUUAGCAUUUAAAUCAGAAAUUUCUAGUGGGUAGGAAGACUGAAUACACAUACCUGCAUACCUUGUCUGGAAUACAGUGGUACUUCGGGUUACAGACGCUUCAGGUUACAGACUCCGCUAACCCAGAAAUAGUACCUCGGAUUAAGAACUUUGCUUCAGGAUGAGAACAGAAAUCGUGCUCCGGCAGCAGUGGCAGUGGGAGGCCCCAUUAGCUAAAGUGGUACCUCAGGUUAAGAACAGUUUCAGGUUAAGAACGGACCUCCAGAACAAAUUAAGUUCUUAAACCGAGGUACCACUGUACUCCGUCUACAAUAUACAGGCUUAAACAAAGGAAAUGCCAUAUACAGGCAUAUCUGAUAAGAUUGACUACUUUGCAAGUAUUUGUUGUUGUUGUUUAGUCGUUUAGUCGUGUCUGACUCUUUGUGACCCCCUGGACCAGAGCACGCCAGGCACUCCUGUCUUCCACUGCCUCCCGCAGUUUGGUCAAACUCAUGUUUGUAGAUUUGAGAACACUGUCCAACCAUCUCGUCGUCUGUCGUCCCCUUCUCCUUGUGCCCUCCAUCUUUCCCAACAUCAGGGUCUUUUCCAGGGAGUCGUCUCUACUCAUUAGGUGGUCAGAGUAUUGGAGCCUCAGCUUCAGGAUCUGUCCUUCCAGUGAGCACUCAGGGCUGAUUUCCUUCAGAAUGGAUAGGUUUGAUCUUCUUGCAGUCCAUGGGACUCUCAAGAGUCUCCUCCAGCACCAUAAUUCAAAAGCAUCAAUUCUUCAGCGAUCAGCCUUCUUCAUGCUGGCUCCCAAAACAGAGUUUUACCUUUUAAAAGUCAGUAAAGUCAAGCCGACCAAUCUUUAACAAUAUUGGCCAACUUAAGUCUGGUUCUUCACAAAUCUUUAAUGGAUCCCUGCAGUGGUGGACCUACAUUUUGGGGGCCCUCACCCUUGAACUGUUAUUGAGGGGGCGGCCUUCGCAACCAGCAGUGAGGUCUGGGUAACCACUGUUAUCUUCUUUGAUGGAGUUCUUUACAACAACCUUUACAACACCUAUGCUACUGACUCUCAAACUUUGGAAUUGUAGAAAUAUAGGCAACAAAAAAUCAGCAGACCAUAUUUUUUAAAAGCGUUGUGAACUAAAGUUGCUUCUGGGGCCCCUCUGAGAUCACGGGCCUUGAAACUUAAACUUCAUUAGUUUCAUAGUAGAUCUGUCCCUGGAUCCCUGUGAAUGUGGAUAAGGAUUUCUGUAGCAGAAAACACACAGUAGCUUCAGGUGAGCUCCAGAAACCUUGAGACCUCAUAAUCCCGCAUGGAGAAUACUAAAAUAAUGAGGUGGUCCUUUUUCUGCACACACACACCCCGCUGCUUGCUCCUGGGAGACAAUUAUGUUUCAUACACCUGCCAACCUCACUUCUGAGUGCUAGCUUCAUGAGAGGAAAGGCCUUUGAAUUCUCUCUCAUAUACCUGAAGAAGUGAUUGCCUUGUGGAAUCUACCAGACGUCGCUGCCAAACAAAACGCCUACAUUGCCUUGAGGAAAGAAGAAACUUGCAGUACCACCAACAUUUAUUUUCCCCUUGGUAUGAAAACCUACAGUGUGGGCCCCCAGUUCUCCUCCUCCAGCAAUGUCUCUGAAGUGACAAGGCACAAGAGAUUACUCGGCAGGCAUUUGCCUGAACAGAGGAGGGUAAAGAAUUUGCAGAUGGGCAUGCACAGAAUGUUUGGGCUUCAGCCAGAUUUUUGCACAUUGAUAAGGCAGGGUUCCUGAUCAUGCAAGGGUGACACAGAAUGUGCUUAGAAACAUCACCCCACCUCUUUACACAUUUCCCAGUCUUAUUUGUUCAGGGGACGCGGGUGGCACUGUGGGUUAAACCACAGAGCCUAGGACUUGUUGAUCAGAAGGUCGGCGGUUCGAAUCCCCACGACGGGGUGAGCUCCCGUUGCUCGGUCCCUGCUUCCGCCAACCUAGCAGUUCGAAAGCACGUCAAAGUGCAAGUAGAUAAAUAGGUACCGCUCCGGCGGGAAGGUAAACGGCGUUUCCGUGUGCUGCUCUGGUUUCGCCAGAAGCAGCUUAGUCAUUCUGGCCACAUGACCCGGAAGCUGUACGCCGGCUCCCUCAGUCAAUAAAGCGAGAUGAGCGCCGCGACCCCAGAGUCAGUCACGACUGGACCUAAUGGUCAGGGGUCCCUUUACCCUUUACCUUUAAGGCAGGGUUCCUGAUCAUAAAGGGGUGACACAGAAUGUGCUUAGAAACAUCACCCCCACCUCUUUACACAUUUCCCAGUCUUAUUUUUUUAGGCAAGCACCUAAAAAUAGCUAGGAUGGGGCAUCAUUCCAACUGAAGCAUCAUGGAGGGAAAUGGUCUCCAUCGUGCCACCAACUGUAGCUCCAUCGUUGGUUGCAGAGGCAAGCUAUUAUGUUGAAAAAGCAAAGGAGGAAAGGGGUGUAUAAAAUUAUGACUCUGCCAUCCUGAUUUUGUAUUAGCUGCUGCCAGAUUCUUCAGCUUGGGUGGGAGGCUUGUCAUUGCUGAAGGUGGGCCAUAACGUGAUCCCUUGUCUGGGGUUGGGUGUCUGCCCUCAAACAAUUUCCAGGGGGAGAGGAAAUCUAUGUGCUCAGUCUGAAAAAUUUGGUUAUUCCUCAGGUAAUAGGCAGAAACGAGCAAGGUUUCAUUAACACUAUUGCAGCUGUGGUGUUCAACUUGGAUUUUAAGUUCAGAAACAGAUUUUCAGAUGUCAAAAUCUUGGUUUCACUGGCAAGAAUUUUGCUGUUUUUAUAGUUCAGUUAAGCAACUCUGUUCCCAUAAUUACUUUCUAGGAACACCAGCCUCAAAUGACUGAAAGUUUAAUUUUGUGACUGUACUUUGGUAGCAUCUUUGGAAAAGCCUUAUCUUGGUUUUCAUAUUUAUGCAGUUAAUUGCAAUCAAUACACUAAGAAACUAUUUGGGUCUAGUGAGCAUCACACAUUAUCUGUUGUAACAACAGCAAAAACCCCUACAGUACUGAUUAUGCAUACAUUGUACACCAAGAUAAGUUAUUGCAACUUCUGUAGUGCACAUCAGCACACUGUAGUGAAUAAAAAGUAUAAGGGAGUCCUAGUAAUUACCAUUUUAAAGUAUAAUAAACACGUCACAAUGCACUGUAAUGUAAAUCAUAUUUUUAUAGCCAGCAGCAUAUUAGGACUGGGUUUAAUUCUAAAGCCUAUAUUACUUUUCAUCUCAGCACUGUAGGAAAUUACAUAUGCCAGGUACUUGCAGGUAUAUAUUGUAACUAUAUACAUUUUUGCAAAAACACAGUAGAAUAAUUAUCACCGGAAUAAUGUAGCCUCUGGUUGCAAUCUUAUUUUUUAGAAACAAUCAAUAUAGACUUAAAAAAACUAUCUUGAACCCAAGCUCGAUGACAUUUAUAUGGUCAGAUGCUUGUUUAACAUCAAAUGCUAUAAUUUUAGAGGAUUUAACUCAGAAUGAAACAUAUCCCCUGCUCUGUGGAAAUCUAUUCAUUUUUUAAAUCAGCUUUCUUUGUGGGCAGUAAACAGGCUCCCACUAAAACUUGUGCAUGAUUUUAAUUACAGAUAAGUUUCUCUUUUAAAGGCCAAAGCGUUCAUGCUCAGGUUGCUAAGCUGAAUUCAAUACAUCUAUAUGUUAAAGGUAGAAAACUAAUGUGUAAACAGGAAAAGUAUUGGAACCAAUUGCUGUUAAUUUGGUUUUGAUCAAUUCACAUUGACUGCACUUUACAUGCAAAUGAGAAGUGUUCUAGGCUAGCCAGAUGAAAAUAGCUGAGAUCUGAAGUGGGGUUUCAUUCUGCAAAUUAUUUAAACGAGUAGGUAGAGAAGGAGGCAUAGCAACAGGCAGUUAUGAGUAAAGUUUGCAGCUGUGGACCCAGCCCAAAUAGAUAUUCAUAUAGAAACAGCAACCCACAAAUUAAUGCAAAACUCUAACCGCAUGGAUUAAUGAUAGUGGACAUAUAUUCUGCAGAAACUGCCCGCCCAAUAGUUCCAUCCCUACCACACUGACUAGGAUAGAAUUAUCAUAGCAGUCAAGUUCUCAUUUGAUUUACUAUGUUCUUUUGAUCCACUGAGAGAUUUUGGGUGCUCUACAGUUCUAUGAAAUUACAAGGGAAGUAUUAGUACCACUCUAUUCUGCCCUGGUCAGACCACACCUGGAAUGCUGUGUCUAAUUCUGGGUACCACAAUUUAAGGAUAUUGACAAGCUGGAAUGUGUGCAGAGAACGGUGACCAAGAUGACCAAGGGUCUGGAACCAAGCCUUAUGAAGAAAGGUUGAAAGAGGUGGGUAUGUUCAGCUUAGAAAAGAGGAGAUGGAGUGAUUAGAUAGCCAUCUUCAAAUAUCACAGUGAAACGGUCUCCCCCGGGAGGUUGUAGAAACAGUUGUAAACCUCCUUCCUUGGAGGUUUUUAAGCAAAGAUGGAUGCUUUAGCUGAGAUUACCGCACUGAGGGUGUUGGACUAGAUGACUCUCAGGGCCCCUCCCAAUCCUACAAUUCUUUUUUUUUAAAAUUAAAUUUUAUUUAACAUAAUUAUUACAAAAUACAAAUACCUACAUACAUAUAUAUUUCAGAUAAGCACACACAUAGAAAAAAAGAAAAAAGGAAGAAAAGAAAAAAGAAAAAGAAAAAGAAAAAAUAAGGAGAAAAAGAAGAAGAGGAAAAAUUGGAAUUUCUUCCAAAUUUAUUCUACAAAUAUCUCAAUAAUAAAAUUUCAUUGAUUGACUUCCAUCGCUUACACUGCACUUCCUAUAUACAUUUUAAGCAAAAUUGUAUCUGUUAUUCCGUGUUUUCCCCAUAAAAUCUCAUACAAAUAUUCUAAUCAAUAUGUUUUCAAAAUCUUUCAUAAAUCUAUUCUAAACAAUUCUAUGAUUCUAUGAUUCUAAGGGGGCUGGCCCCUUCCAACCUCCUUUCUCAUCACCUGAUCAAACUUCUCUCUUUAACAUCUCACCUACCCCUUCGCCUAUCUCCUAAGUGCUCACCCAAAUCCUCCCUCCCAGCUUGCCCCAACGUCUUUUAAAGGAGGGUGGGAGCUGCUUCAGUGAGAGAUUUGCCAAGCUGCUCUCUGAUGUGCCUCCCAGCCUCUUUUAAACGGUUCACCUUGGCCUCCUGCCCCACAAUGCUGCUUACUUGCUCGCUUGCCUGCUGUGUUGUCAUCAUGCUGGUGUUGCCGUGGCUACCUAGUAUAUCUGAAGGAGCGUCUCCACCCCCAUCAUUCUGCCCGGACACUGAGGUCCAGUGCCAAGGGCCUUCUGGGGGUUCCCUCGCUGCGAGAAGCCAAGUUACAGGGAACCAGGCAGAGGGCCUUCUCGGUAGUGGCGCCCUCCCUGUGGAACACCCUCCCACCAGAUGUCAAAGAGAACAACAACUACCAGGCUUUUAGAAGACAUCUGAAGGCAGCCCUGUUUAGGGAAGCUUUUAAUGUUUGAUGUAUUACAGUAUUUUAAUAUUUUUUUGGAAGCCGCCCAGAGUGGCUGGGGAAGCGCAGUCAGGUGGGCGGGGUAUAAAUAAUAAAUUAUUAUUAUAAUUAUUAUACCUACUGGUGGCCACACAAACUGCAGAUUGACAACAGUUUUAGGAAUGUCAUUAUAUAGUAGGGAAUCCGCUUGAACUGGCAAGACAUAUGAUAAAGUUUGGGGAAACAGUCUCUGCCGUGUUCUGUUAACUAGGCAUUAUUGAUGCAGAGUCAUGACUUUAAUAAAGUGAUUCAGUUGUAUAUUGGAUAUUGAAACUUGCUAGGAAAACAAACUUGACAUUCAAAUGAGUAAAGAUCUGAAAUGAGAAGGAAAGUGGUACCAUACUUUGUGGGUUGUGAAACACAGAGCAGUCAAAUACAACAUCCCUAGAGUGAACAUAAAAAGGGGGUGUCUGGUCCAGCCAGUCAGAAUUUCCUGUUUCCUCCUUGGCUGGGACACACUUCCUCUACAUGUGACCAGAGGUGGGCGUGGCCUCACCUGUGCAGGUAACAAAAGCAUAGGACUGGCCGCCAUCUCUCUCUCUCUGACUAUAUUCAUCGAAGAAGCAACAUCUGCUUAGCCUAAGAUGCUCUCUUGGCAGAGAGGACAAAGGGACCAUUUCUUUAUGGGCAUAGAUUCCAGGUAUAUUACUUUUGUAACUUAAGUCUGCCUUCUGGGAUCCAUCUGUGAACAGAAUGUGAGUAAACUCUUUUUAUACUUUUAUAGAAAACUGUGUUGUGUCUAUUUCUGUUAUGAGGGACUAAAGGGGAAAUUACUAGGUAACUUAUUUUAGAGGCUUUAGUAAGCCUGAGCAAACACAUCCGCUGUGCAAGUUUAGAAAGGGGAAUGUUACUCUGCUAAACUGUAGAACUUGUUAACACAAGUUGGAAAGGAUAUAAUCAAACAAUAUAUAUCCUCUCCUGCAUCCCUGAACAUUCCCACAUACUUUACAUUCCAAUGUGAGAAUGCUCAACUGUAUAACCUCAAAAUUAGGAUAGGCUGUACAAUCUGUGCUAGUCACUUCACAUCCAGUUUAGUGACUAAAAUAAAACAAAGAAAUAUGAAUAUGAUAGCCAUCUUCAAAUAUCUAAAGGGCUGAUACAUCGAAGGUGGAGCAAGCUUGUUUUCUCCUGUUCUGGAGUGUAGGACCGCAACCAAUGGCUUCAAUACAAGAAAGGAGAUUCCAACUUUCAGGAAGAACUUUCUGACAGUCAGAGAUGUUCAACAGUGGAACAGACCAUCCUUGGGAGGUGGUGGACUCUCCUUCCUUGGAGAUAUUUAAGCAGAGGUUGGGUGGCCACCUGUCAUUGAUGCUUUAGCUGAGAUUCCUGCAUUGCAAGGGGUUGGAUUAGAUGACCCUCGUGGUCCCUCCCAACUCUACAUCACUAUAAUUCUAUGAAAUGUAAAUGUCACAGGUGUACCAACAGAGGACUCCUAUCUUCACUCCAUCAGUCUGUGGGCUUAUCCACACUGACCUUUCCUCCAUUCUUUCAGGCAAGGCCUGUACUUGACUGGUGCCACACGUAUUGCUGUGCUUUCCUUAGGACCACAAUGAAGUGAAGCCGAGAGGGUGGACUUUGGAAGAAGAAAAGGAUAUCUUUGGGAGAAGAAGAGACUCCACAAAUCCAGAGUAGGGUCCCUAAAGUGGUUGGGUGGUGCCUUGUACGCCUCCUUCCGGCAACCCCUGCAGCCAUGCUGAUGCCAAACGUUCCGCUUUGCUUCCCUUUGGACCAUAUCAGUGAAGCCAAGAUGGGGGUCUUGCCAUCUCAGCAGCCCAGGACCUCCACAAACACUGCCCAGGCUUGUGCCCCAGAGUCACACUCCGUUGUCUCUUGAGACAGGUGCCAAUAUGAGUUCUAGUUCAUGUUCAUCCUGGCAAGAGAUUCCUGUCGGUUUUACAAAGCAAACUAGUUCAGUUCAAGUUAAUCCAAUUGGGUAGCCCAGGACCUCUAUACCUACACUGCCUGGGCUUGCACCCCAGAGAGGUCACAAGUUAUGGUCUCUGCAGCCACAUUAGGCUCUGUGACAGUUCAGUGGUUUAUCUUCACUCUCGGAGGCGCACUCAAUUGUCUCUCGAGACAGAAGGAUGCCAACCACAACCCUGAGCUGUAUUUACAUGGUAAAAUUGCUAAACUAAUCCAUUUAGGGUGUAUAUGCCUGUGAUAAAUCACCUUGUAUGGCGUCUUUUACUUUCUUUUUCAAUUAGACCUUUUCAGCUCCCUAAUGUAAGAAAGAAAAGCUAGUAUUACUUAACAGGUUGCCCUCUCAGUAUGUUGUCACCAGAGAGCUAACUCAAACAACCAAAAUGUUUUAAAAUGGUACACUUUCUAAAUGGUUAAAUUAACCAUAGUUUUAAUAUGAUUUUGCUCACAAAGUAUUGGACUGAUGACUCGCAAUAAGCAGUGAAUGUUGCAUUAUGUUGACUUAUUUGGUUUUUGUCUGAGCAUAAUUUCACAAAGCAUCAAACCAUUUUUUACAACAGCAUGAGGUUAAUAUACUGUAUAUUGUUUCAUGUAAUGCCAGGCUAGGCUGUUUGGGAUUGCACUCAGUGGUUCUUUUAUAAUGGAAUGAGGUCAACAGCAAGAUUUCAUGCUAUGCAAUUUGUGCCAUAAUUUUCCACUACUGUUGGCUAUGAAUAAAAUUUGUUUCCAGCCAUUUUGAGUAAUUUAUUACACUGGCACCACAAAUCCAAAACAUUUACACAGAAUCACGAUCCACUGACUAGAGCAAAAUGCACUUCUAUGUAAGUGUGUUUAAUACCAAAGCAAUACAAAGUGUUUACCACUCCACAAAACAGAAUAGAGUUCUUCCAGUGAUUAUACCCUCAUUUUAGAAUUCCCUCCCACAGGAGGCCCAUCAGGCUGACUCCCUUAUUGUUUUUAGAAGGCUAGUUAUGACAGUAUCAUUUUAGAGAUCAUUUUAGGAUGCUGAAGCUACUGGAAAGGAUAAAUAUCUUGGCUCUGUACUUCAAUUGGCCCUGUUGUUUAUAUUUUUAUUUUAUUUUUGUUUUAGAAAUUGUAUUAUAUUUUUGUAACAGUUUGUAAAUGUUCCCUACAUUCCAGUGAUGUGAUCCCACCAGGUUUCAAUAAUGCCAGUUACAUCAUAUUUACCUUCCUUUGUUUAUAUUUUGAAUGUAUUGUUUAUUUCCCAUCCUCUGUGCCUUGGAAACCCUAGACUGAACACCCCAACCAGACCUUACUGUUUUUCUUGCAUAUCAGUGGGUACUCACAUGGUUGGCUUGGCUUCACACAUUCUUCAAUAUAUAGUGCCAGGCUUGUAUCAUAUUAUUCUGCAGGAGUUAAGUUUAUAGUCCUCCUGAUCAGGUUUGUGAGACCCCCUGCCAAACACUUUCUUCCCAAGCGCAUCUCUUACCAGAAGUCCAUCAUGGAAGUACAGGCCAUAAUUCAAUAAUCGCCUAUAUAAAACCUCUUGCUGCAAACGGCCACAGCCCAAUUUCACCUGAGAUACAAGGUGUCAGGGAACUGCCAUCGGCUCAGGGGCGAGAGGGGAAAAGCCGGAUGGAUUACAGAGAGCCCCCAAAGAUCAUGGGAAGCAGCACCUCCUCAGCGGAGGAGGGUAGCCACGCCUUUAGUGGAGAAGAGAUGCAGGGCUUGGGGGAGGCGAGGCGGUGCCAGGACACCUUGCCUGAGCAAAGCGGGGAGGAGAGAGGUCCUCCGUUACCCAUGCCUUCUGUGUGCAGUAGGCUUCCGCGCAGAGAGAGGAGGCGCAGACUGGGCACCAAGUAACUACUCUGCUGGGGAAGGUUUAAGGACCGCCCACUCUCAGAUUCUGCCAGUGAAUGAGCAAGACACGGAACAGAGGUGCUCUGCGUUCCAAAGGUUUUUUAUCACCAAUAAGAAAGCUGUAAAACAGACUAUUGAAGCAUAUUGCCUGAUUGCUCUCGAGCAACCAACCUAUACCUCUAACACAAGGUGAGGAAGGUUUUAAAAAGAAAACAAAAAGAAAGGCUUUCUCGGACAAUCCGAAAUUCCUCAGUUCCCAGAUAAGCAACCUCCACUUUUUUGGUUAAAGAUGGGCUGCUUCAGCUAAAAUGCAAGGAAAGCGAGAAACGAAGAAGGGAAAUUACGUGGUCCUUGCUCAUUUGAUAGUUGCUGAUUUAUGAAGGUACGAAGCUACACCAUCACUUGAAAGUAGCAAAACCGCCAUUCCUUCCCAUAGCAUAGGAUAUUAUGGCAUGUUCCUCAUGUUCCAGAGUAGACCCUCUUCUUUCAAGCUCCAGGCUGUAGGCAAGGUCAUACUUCUCACACCUUUUUCCACCCAGAAAGUCAGAAAUGUAUUUUCCCUGGAAUUCCUGCAGCAACAGCAUUUUUCAAAAAGAUAAUGACAACUGACAGUCCUGCAGCAAAAUACCAAUCAAGUGUGCCUCAGACCCCAAGAUUGGGUCUCUACCCUGAAGGACACUGACCAUGAUGGAUUUCUCCCCUUGCCCCUCACCCUUUUAUUUACAUUAGUAACCCUUUUCUCCCUUUUCCCGCAAGCGCUGCACUAGUUUGAUUUCCCCUGUUGCUGCUCACCUGCCUCCCCAUUUACUCAGCUGCCUUGCCUGAAACAGGUUAGAAAGGGCCUUCCAGAUGAUUUUGCCGUAUUUCAUGUUUGUGUACUUCGGGUGACAUGAUUUGCACAACCACAUACUCCGCAUGUUUAUCUACUAAUUAAUCUACCAAAACGAAGCUGGAAAUACGUUCUCUGUUUGCAGGUAUAAAAAACCGUGCUCAGUGCCUCUGUAAAUGGGGAUAAUUCUCUUUGCUAGUUCGAUUUAACCACCUUCGCUGAAUUAGUGCAGACAGUCUCUAAGCUAUACCUGAAUGUAGCUCUCAUAAUUGUCAGGUGAGCUGAAAUUCUGCAGGAGAACUUUGAACAAUUUCUAGUUCAAUUCCAAGUUUGCUGUCUUGCAAUUGUUUUUUUUACUCCUUAAACUCUUUGAGGCUUUAAGCUUCGAUAUCCUAAUUGUUGGGAGGAAAUAAAUUAAACAAUAUAUUUGUGUGUUAUGAAUUCUCUUAAUCUGUUUAUGCAUAUUUUAUAGUUCAGCACAGCAGCUUAUAACUUUCUGAAUGCUGAUUCUUUUUUUUGUGUUUUCUUAUUUUUUUGUAGAUCAUUUGAACGAACUUGAACGGAACAGCUGCACAUGAGCCAAACUGAAUUUUGUAAAGGGACAAACCUUAACUGGACUUGGUUCUGUUUUGGACAUGUUGAACUUGAACAAGGUCUUUUUAAAAUCAAUUUUCUGAGCUCCGAUGAUU
rnacentral:lncRNA from 1 species